rnacentral:lncRNA from 1 species
AGAAAUUCUAACACUUGGAAAGAAGAUUUGCAUUGGGGCAUCUGCAUGUCUAAGGGGUCAGGCUCAGGGUUAGUUGACACCAGGGUGAGGAUGGAAACAGGGAAGAGGACAAUACCAGAAUCAGUCCUGAUGGCAGUUUGCAAAUUUCAAGACACAGAAGCUUUUUAGAAAGGUGAGUCUAAAAGGGGUUCAAUUGACCCAGUUCUAUGUUCUCUCACUAUUCUCCUACUGCACUGAACACCUUUCUGAGUAAAGGCUGCCUUAUAUUUAAAUCCUAUGCUUCUGUCUUUAGAAAUAUUCUUGAGCAGGCAAAAUUGCCUCCUCAGCAGCAUAAAAUUAAUCAUAGCUGAUAAUAUUAAUAAUUAACACCAAUUAAACUCUUACUAUGGUUCAGACCUAGUUCCAACACUUUCAUAUUCAUUGAAGUUUUGAAAGCCCUUUGAACUUAUAGAAACUAUAAUUUUCUCCAUUUUAUAGUCGGAGAAACUGAAGCUGAGAGAAGUUCAGUAGUUUGUCCAAGGUUGAGCCAGUGUUCAAAACCAGACAGCCUGGUUCCAGAGUUGUCACCCUUACAAUUUUCUAUGCUAUUCUAUAUUUUUCUACAUUUGCUAAUAAAAUUUUUGAGAAUAAGUAUUAAUUUUAAUUUAUAUAUGUGGAAAGGUAUAUAUAUAUAUAUAUAUAUAUAUAUAUAUAUACACACACACACACAUACACAUAUGUAGAAGAAAGGUAUGUAAAUAUGAUUUGCUCAUGUAUCUGUUUAUUUUUUAUUCUGGUCAAUGAAGAGGGAGAAUUGGAAAAUAAUUUUAAAAUUCUUGGUCAUCUAGGUCUCUGACUUCCCCACAUUCUGAUGCCUCUACUAGAAUAUAAAGAAUAAAACAAAGGAAAAACACAAACAUGGCAAUUUUGCUACAGUUUGAAGUUAAUUCUUCUUGGGAUUGAUUUAGAAGACAGAGAGAUUAAAUAGAAGGUUGAAAGUCAGAUCAAUCAUAGAUACCUUCCUAAUCUAUUCCCACCCUCAUGGGGACUUCCCUGCCUGCAAACUUCUUUGAGCAGACAGCAGACUGUGCAUUGGUGAAUUUCCAGUAGCAACACAAGUUGAGCUAUAUUCAAGUGCAACUUCCAGCAUAGUAGAUGGACACUUGUCUCUGAAGUCUUUUCUCUUCCCACCAGGUUCCCCUGCUUUCUCAUGGCUGUAAUUUCAGAACUAUUGGUGGUCCAGUCACUGCAUGGGGCCCAGAGAGUAAACAAAAGAGACCACCACACUGCCAUCAAACUGUUUCUCAUCUCAUUCUCUCUACUCACCCUCCACAGCACUGUAGACUGGUAUUUUUAAUGUGAAUACAGUCACCUCCCUCCCCUUAAAAUUCUUCCAUAGAUUCUCAUCUCCUAUGGGAUAAAUUCUAACCUCCGUAACUUGUAACUGUGUAUAAGACCCUUGAGGAUUUAGCUCCACCUGCCUGUUCAUCCCCUUUCUGUCCUCCUGCCUUGAAGUUUACAUACAGGCUCCAUGACCGAGUUGCAUGUCUUCAAAAAUGCUUUGCUCUCUUACACAAAUAUGCUUUGCCUGUUGUGUUUCUUCUGCUGGAAUAUCCCCCACCUACUGUCACUCCCAUAAGCAUACCCUUAAAUGAUUACAACUUUGGAUCUUAUUUUAAAUACUGCCUCCAAUGUGAAGUCUCCUGAUGCUUUUAAGUGAUUCAUAUAAACUAAUUGUGUACUAAACCUGCCCCCAUGUGCAUUCCUCACAUUGUGUGGUAGAGCUCAUUAUGUGUCUGCCACCCAUCUGAAUGAUGAGCUCCUUACAGUGGGAAAAUUCUAUUUUUUACCAUUAAUUAUCACCAGCUAGCCAGGCUGGUGACCUGAGCUGGGUUCACAAGAGCUGGCUACAUCAGUUACUAGAAAAAUGGUGAAGGAGCACACAACACAGAGAAAUACCUUUUGCUUGCAGGAAUCAGGGAUGGCUGUCAACCUUAAGGGUCCCUUGGAAAGAGACAGAGAGCACACCUGAAACCAUUGAGGGGAAGACAUUCAAGAAAGUUCAACCCAAAUGAGGCAAGGUAUUGAGUUUCAGGAGGGUAUAGCCCAGUCCCAUUGGGUGACGCCCACUCCCAAAGCUUCACUCACCUGUCAAGCAAAAUGAGGUCCACCUGCUUUUGCGCACAGCCUAAGCCAGGUCCAUACCACCAUCACCCAAGGCUAAGGGUACAUGCUUAUCUCCUAUGUGGCAGCUCCCAACAGUUAAUAAAUUAAUAGAUAGGUAGAUUAAUCCAAUAAGGAAUGGAUGGAUGGCUCAAUGAAAGAAUAGAUGAAUAAUAUGUUUUAUACAGUGAUGAUUUCUUAUAUCAUUCUUAAAAAAUUGCAAAGAAUCUCAUUAUGUACAUUCUCACUUAAACAAAAUAACAAAUCUCUGAAAUGGUAUUACUGAUAACAUACAUAUAAAAAAUAGAAUCAGAGAAACUAAGAGACUUGCCAGAGGUCACACAGUUUGGGACAGGCCAAAACUCAUGGUCUUUCCAAUAUGUGGCAGCACUUUCUUAUUAUAUACUAAAUAAUUCCAAUGUACUAAUUUAAUGAGUCACAUAUUUAUCAAUUUUUAUAACAGAAAGACUUUCUGAGCCAACCUUUUUAUUGGAAAUAUGUAAAAGUGAGGUCUAGUGAUAUGAAAUUGCCUAAAUUUGCACCACUCAUUAGUGGCAGACCCAGGACUGAAAAAAUGGUUUCAGGGAUAAUUUCAACAUUUUAGGUUCAUAUAAUGAGGCUGCCACUCACUGACUAUAAAACUUAGGGCAAGUGGCUUAACCUCUGUUUACCUCAGAAUCCUAUAAUGUAAAUGGGCACAAUAAUAGUACCUAUUUCAUAGGGCUGCUGUGAGGAUUUAAUUGAGAUAAUCCAUGGGAAACUCUUAUAACAGCAAGUGCUUUAUAAAUGUUAGGUAUUAACCACUUGGGUGGUUCUUCCUCUUAUACAAAUAAAUAACAUUAAAGAUGUGUUGGUUAGUGGUAACAGUCACACUCAGGGGAAAAAGGUAAAAGGUGAAAAGUGCUAUGAUGCAGUUAGAGGAAUAGAAAUAGUGAGAGAACUGGAAGAAAUCAUGGGAGAAUGAUGUGGAAAACCCAGUCUGAGGUCACAAACCCACUGUGUUAGGCUCUUCCUUUCCUGAAACAUCCACUUUCUGAGAGAGAAAAAUUAACAUACCUGCAUUGCAAAGCUGAAAAACAACACUGUAAACCUGAUGUGGUGGUACAUACCUGUAAUCCCAGCAGUCUGAGGCAGGAAGAUCACAAGUUUAACGCCAGCCUCAACAACUUAGCAAGGCCCUAAGCAGCUUAGCAAGACCUUACCCCAAAAUUGAAAAAUAAAAAGGAGUGAGGAUGUGACUCAGUGACUAAGCACCCAUAGGUUCAAUCCUCCGUACCAAAAAAAAAAAAAAAAAAAAAUAGGAGGAGGAGGAGAAGAAGAAGGAAUACAACAGGAAAGCAUUUUUUAUUACUUAAAUCCCACUUUCAAAUAAUUAGCUGAUUCCUCUCUUCCCUAACUUAAAUAAAUAAAUGUACAAAUAUGUAUUCUACAUACAAUUUAUGUAGAUACAAAAUAUAACCAUCAGUUUGUGCACUAUCUUAUCAACUGAAGGACCAUCUUUUAUAAUAAUCGUUUCUCCUAUUAAACUCCAUCCACUUGGUUUUCUGUAGAGGGAAGGAUUCUCCAUGGUUCUCAUUAAUCAGCCUCAUCAAAAUUGCAUUUACACAUUGAAAUCUUGCCAGUUUAGCUUUUAGUAGCAGUUAGAUAAGGCAGGGUUUUAGUAACAAGAUUGCACCAGCUUACAGGAACAGAGGUCCCUGUCUCACUCAUGCCUCAUGUCAUGAUAGAUUGACUGCAGCUCUGAACCUUCUCUCAUUCUGUGACUAGCCUGAAAGAGCAACUUUCUUCUAAAACACCGUGAGCAUCACAGCAGAGAAACGAAAAAUGGCAAAACAAGAACCAGCUCUCAAUAGUCUGCUUAGGGCAAGAUAUAUACCAUUUUUGUUGACCUUCCUUGGUCAAAGCAAGUCACAUGACCAAGUCUGUCCUUAGUAAGAAUAGGAAGUAGAUAGAGAUAUUGAUCAAGGAAUACAAUCUCUCAUGCAUUCUCUUGCUAUCCUUAUUGCUUCCUUUUAUUUUCUCCUACUGAGUUCUGUAGAUUCUAUCUUUCUAAGGCAAAUUGUCUUUUACAUACUUUCUGCUUAUUUUGUGAUGAGUUUUGUAAAGUUUGUUACGAAACACAGUGUUACUGCCCCAAAGCAGAUACACAUUACUUACAAAAACCAGGUGCUUUGUUUUGUUUUUGUUUGGUUUUUGCCAAAUUCAGUAGAUGAAUUUAUUCUAAAGCAAAAUCUCAUGAAUUUUAUAUUGUUUCUCUACUCCCUAUUAGACUAGUGUCUAUAUUUUCUAAUAUGCAAAGGCUUUCAGCUCAUGGGACUUAGUAUUUGUAUGCAUUAUAUAUUUUGUAUUUUCAUAAAGAUUUUCUAAUCAAAUGAUUGAAUGAAACUGAGUGCAUCUCCUAGAAGAAAAACAAUGGCCUUGAAUCCCAGCUCUAGCACCAAACUGUACUGUAAUUCAUGAUGUCAUUUUUAAUGGAAUUGGUGAGACUGGAGAGUGUUCAUUAUUUAAUGACUGUAAUGGGCUCUGAAAGCAUUCUGCUUCCAUGUGACUGCAAUGCCAAGCCACCAAAAUCAAGGGGAAAGAAAAAUUACCUAAUUACCUUGGAAGUCAUUCUCUCCAUGAGUCAGGGAAAAACUAACUUCUGCGUAAAUUUCCUCACAUUCAGUUUCCAAAAUCAUAUUAACCAACUUGAGUUUGUAUUUUUACUCACAUUACCUCAAAUCGCCUCAACUCAUUCAUUGCUCUAGCUCAGUGAAAUGGAGCAGAAUCAGAUCUGAGGUAAGACAAACUACUUUCUUUAAGGAGCUCCAAAAUGGAUCAUUUUACGAAAAGCCAUUCAUGGUAGUGUUCUCAACUCUUUCUCAUUGCCAUCCACUGUAGGAGUUUCCUGGAACCUGCUGUACUCUCCUGUGAUGGAUGAGUCCAGAUCUUUUACCAGGAAAUGUGGAAAAUUAUACUCAUUUGCUUGAAAAUAAAUCUGCAUGUAGUUUCAUGCUUGGGACAUAGAGAAGCAGUUAUGUGGCUUGAUCUUUAUGCCUCUCUUAUUUCAAUCUUUGAGGCUAGCACUGUCCUGUUCUCCCCCUUCCCCACUACUUCUUUUAUGGAGAUGAAUGGGAAGUUUUCCCUCCACUGAACUUUUGCUUUUGUAGCUACAGAACAAAAGACUGAAGAGACAACUCUCCACUGUGCUUUAGCAAGGAUAUCCCCAGGGCCUUUCUGGAAAACUCACAGCAGGUAGCCACUGACAUGAGGCUAUAGAACAUUUUCAUGUCUGAGGACUUUUCAUUCUAUGGACUUUUUGAAAUAAAAUGAUUAAGCAGAAUAGUAGACAUCUAAGAAAUCUAGCUUCGUUCUAUGUUUUGGAAUGAUUUUUUUUCUUUCCAAAGUUAAAACAAAAGAUUUGAAUUUUUAAAAGAUAAUUUUAAAUUCAAAUCUAUGGAUUUUUUCUUUUUGGAGCUAAUAUAACUCCAAAAAGAUAUAAUGGAGCUUUAUUUCCUUUUGUGAGGAUGUUUUUGAAUAUUUAUGGAUCCUCUAAUGUCACAGACUUAGCAUUCUAUUCAUUUUGAUGACAUAAUUUUCUAAUUAACCAAUGCUUACCCAAAGGAAAAAAUGCUUAACAAUAUGUUAUACUUCGGAUCUGGAAUGCCCCCCAAAGGCUUAUGUGUUAAAGGUUUGGUUCCUAGCUGGUGUCACUGCUGGUGGCACUGAUGGUGGAGGCUUUAGAGAGGUGUUACUGGGGUAGAGUGUCCUGGAAAGAUAUAACUUGUCGCUGUCCCUUCUUCCCUCCUCCUCUGCCUCUCCCCUAGCCACUAUGAGGUGAGAAGCUUUGUUCCACCAUGCCCUUCUGCCAUGAUAUUCUGCUUUACCACAGGCUCUGGAAUAAUGGGGUCAGCCAACCAUGGACUGAGACCUCUGAAACCAAGAGCUGAAAUAAAUCCUUCUUCCUCUCAGUUGAUUUUCUCAGGUAUUAUGUCACAGUGACAGGAGGUUUACAAAUAGCCAAGCACAAUGCCAGAUAGACCUGAAAAUGGACUUCUAUUUAUAACCAAAACAGGGCCUUGCCAUCCACUACCUUACUGUCUUUUAGAAUCUUAAGGCCCACCUCUGUGAGCUUACACAUACAACGCAUGACUUACACAUCUUUGUGGAUGUUGUCACCCUUCAUCAGUAUGUCUGAUGUCCCCAAAUGGGGAGCCUCACUGUGCAGCAGCUUUGGCAGGCUUAAGUCAUGAAUUAAGUAGAAACCACAUGGAUUUCAUAGGUCUUCUUGUGCUGUGGGAUUAGGGAUAAACACACACACACACACAAACACACACACAUUUUCUAGAGGCUUUUUUUGUUCCUAGAAACCAAACUACCAGGCAAUUUUAAUACAAGUUUUGCUUCAUCUUCCUCACCUCUAACAUAGAAACAAUAAGUUUCUCAUUUCUAGAUGUCCUACUAAGAGUAAAGCCUUGGACAUUUUCAAAAGAAAAUCAAGCUAGUUGAAAAUCAUCAUAACAAACAGUUAAGUCAUUAGAAAUUACUUGAUUUGCUUUUUUUAAUUUCCUAAUCAUGCUUAUUGGAAUUGCAAACAUGUUGCUGCUAAAAUAAAGAUUUUUUUCUCACUUAUUUCAACUGAGAUACCAAUACAUUUCAUAUCAUAUGCCAAUUGAAUAUGAAACAGAUCACCACAUGUACAAUUUGUCCCAAAGAAAAAAUUAGAUAAAUUGUUCCCUAACUCACCUAGUUCACUUUGAAAAUAUAAAAAAGGGGGGAAGUAAAAAGUGAAAAUAAAAAAGAAUUGAGAAGAGAUUUCUGUGGAGAAAACCAUGAUUUAGACUUCCUCCCAUUUACUCAGAACAGAGAUGUUUCUGGAGCAGAACAGCCUCACUUCUCUCUGACACUGUGAAUGGACUUUCAAGUCACCAUUUGAAGAACCAGGUGUGUCCUUGCAGUUAUGGGCACAGAACACUGAAGCCUCGGUUAGCCAAAGUGAUCUGUGGUCUGCAAUUCAAUAGGAAUCUCAACAGGGCUGGAUCCACACUCCUAAAGUUUUGUUGAGACGAAGGUCAUGUGUUUCUGGGAGAUCAGAUCUGGGUAUCUUUGUAGAGAGAGCUGGCAUGGUGCCAAAAGGGGUUCUGUAAAGCUGAACCAUCUGGAGGAGACAAAUAAUCCCAAAGAUAGAAGCUGGAAGACAUUUGAUUCCUGGGAACUGUAGAAGGUAGGUACAAAUGGCCAUGCAACACAGAAAUGGAUCUGACGAAAUUGACCAUCCUAAAAAGAACAAGUCUCCAUGGAUGAGAAUCUCAAAAGAGCCCACAAAGGAGGCUAACGCAGAACCACCUUUGGAAUAAAGCUAGUCUGGAAGAGUAAAUUUAUGACCUUUCUGUUCCCUUACUCCUACGCUUCUAAACCUCAACAGCAUCAGAAACAAGCUCAAAAACUAGGAUGAGAAUACUGUUGAGAAGGAAAACACACACACACACACACACACACAUGCCAACCUGCUCACUCUCAUCAUGUCUACCAGCUAGAAGCAGGCCUGACUUUUAUAAAAGGAAACAUCUGACACUGAAUCAAGCUCAGUUUGUUUAACAUUUUAUACUUGGCACCUCUGAUUUAUUCUUUGAAAUUAGGUUUUUACCUAAACAGAGAAGAUAGGCUAUGCUAACAUUGAAGCAUGAGAAGAAAAGUUAUGGAACCUAACCCCAAAGCAAGAGAUAAAUUACUUUCAUUGAACAUCUGAAAUAGGACUGAGGGGGACAAUGUAAAAUUAUGUUUACUCUACAUGUUAUGAGUCAUGUUUAUAUUACAUGCUAUAAGUCAUGUUGUUCCACAAAGUUCUGAAUUUCACAACUAAUCAGUUUCAGUCUGUCUCUGUCUCUCCCUGCCUCUGCCAUUCUCAAGGAUAUGUAUAGAUUUAUCGUUAAAAGGAAUCAAAAAGAAAUACAAAGAUUGAAAACAACACUCUGAACACAAAUUUGUAUCUUCCGAUAGUUGGUGUAGCUCAGAAAACAGAACUUGCACAUAAAGUACCUAACCCAAACAGCAUCUUACAUAAAGUGAGUGUUCAAGAAACAAAAGCUGUUAUUACUUUAAACACCCUCUUGGGUGCUAGUGAAGGAAGAGUCAUCCUUAGAAUCACUUUCUUUUUUCUCUUUGUAUGCUGUUCUGUCUGCUACUUUACAAAGAAAUGGAUUGUGUUCUGCAGUCUCUUUCAACUCAUACCUUUUAUUUGCAGAUACCAAGCACUUUCCAAUCAUGAGGAAAAGUAAAGCAUACUCUUACAUUCCAAACCUUGAUGAAAGUUAAAUAUUUACAAAGUUCUGGAUGGCAAAUAAAGAACAAUUCAUUGAGACAGGUCCUGUAAGAAUGAUUCUUUAUAUAAGUUUGGAAAACAUUAUCAGGAAUUUUGGCCUCAACAUUAGAGCAAUAAUUCAUCUGACCUUUACUGGUAUCACUGCUUUUAACAUCCUCAUGAUCCAUACAAGAAUAAAAUGUAACAAGAGCUGCUAGUUAAGCUAAUAUUCUUCUUUAGUCUAAAUUUCUGGUGGUGCCAAUUACAUCCAUCUGGAAGACAUAAUGAGUGAAGGAGGAUUUUUUUUUUUCUAUUUUCCUUCUGUCCUUCCCGGUUCCAAAUUUUUAAAGUGCUCAAUUUUUCAGCCAUUGAAUGUCACAACAGAAUUUGAAAAUCUUCAAUUUUCUGGAUUUUCUGACAAUUUGCAUCCUCAACAUCAAACACUGGAAUAAUGACUAACAAUUUAAUGAAUCUUUGUGAUCUUCACAGCCCUUCCAUUAUUCAUUACUCUUGCUAUGCCCCCAGGAGCUAAACUUUUUUAAUCCUAAUUUAUGGAUUAGGAAAACAAAGCACAGGGCAAAGUAGCUAAUCCCUGCUGGAGUUAAAACUUAACCAUUAGACUUCUGAACCCAAACUCACUUUUUAUUUCCAUAUUUCAAACUUUCUGAGCCUCAUUAAAGAAAAUACUUUCUGCUCUUUAAUGGAAGUCUGCCAUCCAUAAAGAAAUAGAUCCAGCAGUUAGGACAUAUGAAGUAACACUUGGUCUUUUAUGGUUAUCCAAUUAGGAGAUGCGUCCAGUAUUCUCUGGGCCUUCAAAGUUCCUCCUGUGAACAGACUUCCAGGGAAGAUAGUGAGACUGGAAAGGGAAGAGGUGAUUGAGGGGAUUAGUUAUCACAUGGUAGCUGAUUUUGCAAGGAAGGAGAGCCUUUGCCACUUGUGGUUUAACCUAGAUGUUGAUGGAUAAUGAGCCAAGUCAGGGGGGCUGUGGAAAGGUGAUCAGGAAGAAUGAAGAACACUCAAAAGCAUUUCUUGUUAGCUGUAGCCCAGCAUUAGUCAGGGCUGGGGCAGCCUUGCAUACUGAAUCUAUUAGUGAAUAACCCUGUUUGAAUUCUCAUUGUGGUCUGAGUAGGUACAGAUGCAGGUGGGCUUAUCUGGGAUGGUAAGUGAUAUGAAGAAAUAGAGAACAUGACCAUGAAGUGCUUUGAACUCUAAAAAUAAGCUCUGCUACUGUGAGGGGCCAUCAACAAAGACUGUUUGUGGUACUAGAAGGAGAUUUUAAUUGUGCUUUGUAAGUAAACUUGUUUGCCUCAACCUACAAGAAAAGUGACUGAUAAACGUGACUUACCAAGUAGACAUAGCUCUUAACCUUACUGUCACUAAGGAAAAGAGCACUGUUUGUUUGCUCUCUUUCUGUGCCAUACCUUAAAGAUUGCUAACCUCCAUCCAUUGCUUUGUGAGCUAUAUUGUUCCUUCUUUCCUAAAGUCUACAAUGAAACUCUGAAAUAUUAUUUGGCCUUUUAUCUACCUCUUGAUCCUUCCUUUUAUAUAAUAUUCUCCAUUAUUAAACAAUAGAAAAAAAUAUUGAACUUCAAAAUACAGUGGUUAAGAGUAAUGUUUCUCAAAAGAUUAACAGAGUCUUGUAAAUUUUUUCCAAAGUGCAUUUUAAUAUGUAUGACCAGGUUUCUUGAAAAUUGCACAAAAUGAGGUCACCUCAUAUUAUUUUCUUUUAAAGUCAUUGGCUAGAAAAAAAAAAGAAUCAGAAUUAAUUCUUAUUAUUGCAUUAUCAUGUUCUUGUUCCUUGUUGGCUUCAAUAACAUUAUGAAAUGAAUGCUACUUUGUUAGCCAAUGGAUUUAGCAAAACUUGUGUAGCUAAUUUUUUAUUUGGGCUUCUCUAUAAAAAUCAUUUCAGGCUCUCAACAGCUUUUGGCAUGGGACAAUUUAGUAUUUUCUCAACAUACUAAUGAGCCUCAUGAUUUAUAAAAAGAGGGGAUUGGAUCAUUUUAGUACAAUAAAGCUACUCAACUCAGCCUAUCCUUCAAAAUUACAAGUAAAUCUUUGGGGAAAAUAUACCAAAGGAAAGUUUUGCAUGAUUGGUUUGUAACUAUUUGCAAGUCAUAAUAUCUUAGAAUUCUUACAACACAUGUACUAAAAGCCAGCUUUAAAUUUAUCCAAAUCCCCUCAACAUGUCUCUUCUUAUAAGCCCCACCCAAGCCGUGGAGAUAAGUUGCUAUUCUUGUUCCAACAGGUCUAAAAUUCCAUUCCCAGGGACAACACAUAAGCUGUUACAGAGAGAGUUAAGUUCAACAAAUACAUAUAAACUAAUUUAUUAAGUCAGCCAAAGAAAAAAUAAUUACCUUCCUUGCAAAAAAUCUGUACUUAAUGUGAAGUCAGCUUUAUACCCUCACUUUUCUUUCCCUGGAAAACUGCAAAUGUAAUAAUCAAGGUGCUUCGAAUUAACUAAUGAAUAUCAGGCCAAGGUGAGGUCACUGUCUGCUAGAAAAUAGAUGCUUUGUGGCAUUAGCAUUCACCUUGUCAGGAGAAAAUUAUAAAGCAAUCCUAGUCUUUGUCCAGGCUCCAGGCCUAAUGGGCCUUGUGGAAAAAAAGAGAGAAAGGGGUAGGGAUGCAGGGGGGAAACAGAGAUACUCCUAAACUGCUGGAAAACUACAAAACUGUACUCAUAUUCAGAGCCCUGCUGCAUAAUCCACAUCGCACAUAUAGUCAGUUUCCUUAUUAUGAGAUAGAAGAAGAGGGUAGAUACAAUACACAAUAGGACUUUUAUUUUUAACUUCUCUCUAGAUCUGAUCCAAUAUUUAAACAUCAUAAAUUAUUAUGUGAAUUUUUUAUUUUCUCUUUCUGGACUCCUCAUCCAGGACUAUUAAAUAGCCAACAGCACUCAAUCUAUUUUCCUCAGAUAUUCCAGAAGAUCUUACUUGGGAGAAUGAGUCAUUCUACAUUUUGAUCUUUGGAAAUCCAUCCAAAUCAAAGGUAUCUACAACCAACAGACAUACUUAGCACCACCUGCUAUAGUUUCAGUCACAGUAUUUAUCACUUUUUCCCACCCAUUGUUUUAACAAAACCUAACAAACACAUAGACUUGAGUCAAAAUCAUCUGUAUCUAAAAAUAAAUUAAUUAAUUAAAAUAAAACUGUAUAUUGCAGCUCCUCCCCCACUUCCUUUGUACAAUUCACAUAUGUCAGCCUCUUCUUUUUCUUCCAUGACUUGCUUAUAUGUUCAAAGAACAACAAGUAAAACUUUCCACACAGCAUUUGCCCUUUAGCUACCCAGGUGUCACUUGAUAGUAAACAGCGUGAAUUGGUCAAGGUGGAGUAGGCAGAUACAGCUGUGUGGUGCACGUUUGGGGACUCUGCAAUGACUUGCUUCUGAGGUGCCUUCUGAAAGUGCAUUACCAGCUUCACACCACUAUACAGACAGUAGGCCCUAAAGUAGAAAAAAGGUCCAUUUUCAUAGUCAUUCUCUGGGAAAGAGAGCUCAGAAAAUAUCCUGUAUUAAGUCCUUGUUCCUUCAUUUAUUCUCCCUUUUCUCUGAGUCUCCAUUUUCUCUUUUCUCUGGUAGCCUCUCCCAUUCUAAGUUGCUUCUGGAAAUAAAAGUAAGUUCACAAAAAAGAACAGGAGACAUAUACUUGGAAAUAUCUUCUUUCAGGGAUUGAUCUGAAAGAAGGAAUGUUGUCAAUCACUGAUCUCAUCUCCAUCCUGAGAAGCACAUAAUAAAGUACUGAAAAGUGCUAUGCAAGGCCAGAAUUUGUUUGCACAAUUUGUCCCAUUGAGCUUCAGAGAUUCCAGAGAUGACUCAUGGACCACCACAAAUACAAAGAUGGGAAUAAUCUACCAGGACACCUGCCCUAACCCAUUAUACACACACACACACACACACACACACACACACCAUAGAAAUGCUUUUAUUUGUACAGUUGGCACUUCAUAUCCCCACACUUCACACCUGUACAUUCAACCAACCAAGAAUUAAAAAAUACAUUGGUAGUAAGCAUGUACAGACUUUUAUUUUUGCUAUUAUUCCCUAAAUGAUACAGUAUAAGAAAUAUUUACAUGGCAUUUAUAUUGGAUUAAAUAUUGUAAGUAAUAUAGAGAUGAUUUAAAAUUUACUUGAGGAUGUGCUUACAUUAUGUGCAAAUACUAUGCCAUUUUAUAUAAAGGGCUGGAGCAUCUGCAGAUUUUGAUGUCCAUGGAAUCCUAGAAUCAAUCCCCUAUAGAUUUGAAGAACAUUUGCAUUUUAAAUUUUAAAUCUCUAUAUAAUAUUUUCUUUGAAGAAAGAAUUUCUCUCCGCCUCCAAACACACAAAAAAGGUUUCAAUUCAACCUCUUAAUUUCUUUAUUUUAUAAAUGAGAAAAGUAAGGUCUAAACAUAUUGAAUGACUUUCCCAUGGUUAUAUCAAUAAUGAGUAACCAUGCAAACACUUGAACCCAGAACCUCUGAAUCUAUAUGUAACCUCUCUUAGGAUAGAUAUUAAUAUUAUUUUCCUUCAUGUACAAGUUAAAGUUUUACCAAAUGAUCACUCUUUGUGACCUACAUUAAUUUAUGCAAAACAAGGUAAAUUUACCAUUAAACUAUUAAUAUCAAUUAUUAGAUUCAUUUUUUAUUCCAGUUCAAUAGAUCAAAUAAACAAAAUUCAGUAAAAGUAAACUUUCUUCUUUAACAAAUAUUUUGAAAUCAUUCUAAACCCUUAAGUAGACUUGUCUUCAAACUUUUAUCCUGACAUAUGUCAAUAAUACCAAGAAAAAGGCUUUGCAAAGAUUACAUAACUCUUGCACAUCUAUGUGAUUAAAGAAUGAUCCAGACCCAGAGUCGAUUUUUAACAUUUCUUUAAUAUAUUCAUAAGAAGUAAAAUCUUGAGGAGUGGGGUGGGUAUGACAUGAUGAAGUCUUGAGCAGAUGAAAUUUUAUUUUUCAUUUAUUCAUAUGUAGUUUCUUAUGUACAUCUAUAAGUAUAAACAGACAGCGGAAAAUAAAUGAACCCAGAAAAGUAAGCUUUGCCUUCAGGACCACUUUUCUAAAGACCUUUUCUCUUUUAAGAAAGAAGCUAAAAUGUUGAGCAGAUAUUUUUUUUUAAAGACUUGCAGGCUAGAGUAACAUACUUACUCUGGUAAAAUACCCCAUAUUUUAGGUUAGGGACCCAAAGGGCUGAGUCCUAGGAGUAAGAAUAGAUCAAAAAUGAUUCAAUUCUUGCAGGGGCUAAAAUGUAGCUUCAUAUCUUAUUAAUUUUAUGAUUAGAAUGAGAUGAUCUGGGAUCACUGAUUGUCUCUAGCCUCUUGCCAAAAUAAAACAUAAAUUAAUAAAUUAUAGAAUGGCACUUUUCUCUGCUUUAAAUCGGUCUUAUAGUUUCUUAUAUACACUGUUUAACAUCAUCAAAAGUAACCAGGCAAUAGAAUUAAAAACCAAGAGAGAUAAGAGACAAAAGAUUUAGAAUUAUAGGAAAUCCAGAUGAUAAAGUUCUCACACAGAGACUUUAAGUAUAUAUCACUAUGUUCAAAAAGAAAUCCCCUCCAAUAAAGAAUUUUGAGAAAGAAAAGAAAUUAUAAAAUAAGAACAAAUAAUUUUGGGGCAUUAGAAGUACAAUGAUUCAUACUUAAAACUGAAUGAGUUCAAAAUUAGAAGACAGACAACUGGGAAGAGAAUUCAUGAACUGUAAUCAAAAAUGAAAUGAAAUAAUCAAAAUGAAGCAGAGGAAGAUAGAAGUAUGGAAAAUGUGGAAGAGAGGAUAAUAUAGGGGAUAAAAUGAGAAGAUAUAGCAUAAUUUGAAAUCCCAGGUAAACAGAAAGUGAAUGAGUUAGAACGACAAAAGAAUUCUGAACUUGCCAAGCAAGUCUCAAAGCAGCUUUAAUUAGCAAGGGUUAGCAGUACCUUAUGCAACGAUCAAUGUUAAAAGAAAACAAAAUAAUAGAAUUCUCAGUCAUGGCCCAAGAAUUUCAUAACUAGCCUGAUUACCAUUUUCCUGAACUCAGAAGCAAGCUAUGCAAGCUAUGUCAUUAAUAACCUACUUUUAACUAAAAGACAUGGGUACUGAAGUACAUAAUGAUCAUAUUAACAUGCUUUCUUAAUGACAAAAGUGGUGUUAUUUUAUGUUUGUGCUCUUAUGGAUGUUAAAUAACUUUGCACACUGUAUAUUUUUUGCUUUAGUGUUUGUAAAUGUGAUACUUACUGUAAAAUCCAGAGCAAAAGCAUGCUACAAUUUCAUUGGUAAGCCUUUAAAUAUUACUUAAAUAUCAAGAAACAAGACAACAAAUAUUUGGUAUACUGCUUAGUUAAGAUAAGAACCUUUACCUAAUUAGUGCAUUAAUCCACUUGAAUGAAUUAACUAGGUGGUGCCUGUAGGCAAGUAGGGUGUGGCUGGAGGAGGUGGGUCCCUGGGGCAUGCCUUUGGAAUACACAUUUUAUUUCUGGUUCUGCCUCACCUCAGGCCCAGAGCAAUGGAGCUAACUGUCUAUGUACUGAGACCUUUGAAACUGUGAGUGUCAAAUAAACUUUUCCUCCUCUUAAAAAAAAUAAAAAAAUUCUUAUCUAAACUAAUGUGACCAAGAGGUAACUGAACUUAGGGGAAUUUUUGCCCAGUGAUGUGGUACUGGGUAAUCAAUUAGAAAUGAAGUCAGCCCCUAGGAAAAAUUUUAGUGGUACAAGCCAAGAUUUAAUAUUGAACCACACUUGAAUUUCAUAAAGAAUUUCUCUCAAAAGCUGAUGAAAAGAUUUUGCAAUCCCCAGACACUAUAAAAUGAUGUUGUUCAGAAGCCAAUUAAUCCAAGGUAUAUUUGGAUUCUACUUGAUAUAGCGCAAAAUGAGUUUGAUCAGACCAGUGUCUAGCAAUGUGUGCUUUUGCAGUUGAGAGAAAUUUGAUCCUAAUUUGCUUAACUCAUUUACCAAUGAAUGUCUCCAGAAUAUUGCUUGGUGCCAAAGUUAACUAAAAAGAUUCACUUACGUUUAAAAGGUGAGUCAUUUACUACCUCUCCCUUUCUAGUCAGAUGAAGUCAAUACUAGGAAAACUUUUCUGAUGAUUCUCAGCAAUAUUCAUUUCCCACACUAAUUCCUAGGAGGGAAAAUGUACUUGGUAUACAGUUUCUUUGGAUAAUUGUACUUUAUUUUACCAAGCUUGAUGAACUUUGCUAAACACACACACACACACACACAUACAUAUAUAUGUAUAUACAUAUGUAUAUACAUAUAUAUAUACACACACACAAAAAAAAUUCUUUUACAGCUCCAACAUGUUCUAAAGGUUGCAGCAUUCUAUGACCUUACUAAGGUUAACUUGAGGCAAUAAUAAAGGCUCCUUUUAUAUCAUUUGGUAUUGCCAUUGUUGUACAGAAAAUAAAAUUUAAUGCUAUGAUAAUUACAGAGGCAACUUCAUAAUAAUGUUGAUUUAGAAAGUUAUUCUCUUUAGGAAGUUCUUUUCCCAUUGGAAACAUAAUUCUGAACAGAGAAAAAGCAAAUAUCAAACCUUGCCACAGAGCAUAGUUCAUGAAAGUACCAACAGACAAGAGGUCAAUAACACUAGAAUCCAAAACAGAGAUUGCAAAUUAGAACAAAAGUCAAGCUAAGAAGGUAAGCAGCCCAGUUCAGAUUCUUUCCAAAUAUAAGCAUGAAAUUCAGAUGAACAGGGAUAUUGGGCAAUCUGUCUCUUUUAUGAAAGCAGAACUGACUGAUAGCCUUGGCCUUUGGAUGUUAUCAGGUUACUUUGCAUUCAUCAAUCAAGGGGACCUAUCUGGCACUUAGACACUGUCAGGACCAUUUUCUCAAUGUUAGUUCAGUGAUAUUAGGUCAUACUAAGUCUCUCCUUUAAUGCAAAGCCUUCCUGGUUGACAAAAGUAAAACUAGUAGAAUUAAAAAGCAAAUGAAGCAUGCAAUUAAAAGUAGUGUUUGUUGGAUUUGACUAAUUAAAUAGAUUCACUACAGCACGUACUUGGUGAUUAGCACCUGAUUGAAGUCCAGAAUAGAGAAAUUACCUAUAAUUCAGGUAAUCACAACAUAGGGACAUUAGAGGCAAUUACAUUCUUCCCAUCCUCACAGGGGAUAUCUCUUGAAAACAUCUUUAAUUAAUGGAUAUACACCCUCUACUUGAAUAUUUCCAGAGAAAGAACUGGAAAUUUCUUAUGAUUGCCAAUUUUACUUUUUGUUUCCUUUUCAAAAAAUUUAGUAAAGUAUUAAAUUCAUAGAUAUUAAACUUCCAAACUUAGAAAAUAAUUCUAGUUAAAAGCAACUCUCCAACACAAUCUGUCUAGUUCUACAACCCCUCUUUCAGCAACACCGCUUCCUGUCCUACAGCCAAGAACCACAAGUAUAAGUUUCCUGUUUAUUCUUCCAGGAAAUUUCUCAAUAGAGAGGAAAAUGCAAGUGUGUUUUAUUCAAGUUUCCCUUUGAAAUAGUUUUGCUUAUUAUAAAAUACUUAUUUGCUAUGAUUCUAAUUUGACUUCCUUUUGUUGAUCAGAAAAGGUAUAACAAUCACAUUUACUAUUACAUGAAAAUAAAUCUGAACAUACAUGAGUGUUUGUGCACUAAUCUAAAUGCUUUAUAGGUAUUAGACCACUUUAUUCUUACAAAAACUCUGUUACAUAGGUAUUAUUAUAAUGGUAGUAAAUCUUAAUACAGAAAAAUUAGUAAAUUGAUGCACAGUUAGCAAAAAAAAACCAAUCAUCUCUCUUCCUUUUAUAUUCCCUAAUGCUUAAAUCUAUACUCUCACUUCUUCCUCUUAAAUUCUACCAUGAUCACCUCUAAAAGAAUCAUCUGUCUAAUAUCAAACCUCACAGUUCCCUGAUCUCCUAAUGGAAAGAGCAUACAUGAAAGAGAUGGAAAGACCCAAAUUUCAGUCUCACUACUUCCCAGAACAUGGAUCUUCUUGCCUCUCUGAACGUGAGAAAUUGGGGGUGGGAUGUAAUGACUGUGAGAGAGCAUAAAAUGGAACAACAACAACAACAACAACUAGAUUUUUGCAACCAAAAAUGUAUGCUUCUCAACCACAAAAAGGCCCUCAACUUUAUUUUUUUCCUUUUUAAAUAUUCCAUAGUGAUUAAUCCCAAGUACUGUCUCUUUUUUUCUUUUUUUUUUUUUUUUGCUUCUUACCUCAGGUCUAUCACCCUUAAUCUCAGAACAUCAGGAAACAAUUACAGACACUUGAAUCCAAUGAAAAAUAAAAUCAUCUAAGAAAUAGAAGAUAUGAAGUAAAUGGAUUCUUAGCAGAAGAUAAAAAAACUUAAUUAUGAACUUAAGAGUAGAAUGGCAGAGACAGAGGAAAGACUUCAUGAACCAAAAAAUAUAAAAAGAAAAAUUAUUAUAUCUAAAGACACAGAAAAAAAUGACUUAAGAUUCAAUUGGAUUGCCAAAAAAUUUAACAUUCAUGUCACUGGAGUUUUGGAAGGAGGAUAAAAGAGACAAGCCUGAAAAAGUAUUCAAAGUAGUAACUGAAAACUUCCCAAAUUUGAUAUAAGAUGUAAACCUGCUGAAUCAAGAAGCUGAGAAAGUAUCAAAGAAGAUAAAUUCAAAUAAAUCUCACACCAAGGCACACUACAUUCAAAUUUGUGAAAUGUAAAGAAAAAAAAAGAGAGAAAUGACAUAUUAACUACAGGAGGAAAGAAAUUUGAUAGUGGAUUUCUCAUCAUAAAUCUUGGAGGCCAAAAGAAAGAGGAACAAUUUUUAAUAAUGAAAGUAAAGAAUUUUCAACCCAGAAUUAUGUACCUUAAAGAUAAUAUCAUUCAAAAAUGAAAAAAGAAGGAAACAUGAAGCACAACAAAGGAAUAAAGUGGUAAGUAAACAUCUGAAUUAAUAAAAUAGACUUUCCUUCUCUUGAAUUUUUAUAUUAUGUUUGAUAGUAGAAGCAAAAAUUUUAAAACUAUCUAGUUUGGUUUGAAAUGUAUUAAAGACAAUCUUACUACAACUGGUAGAGGUAAAGGGACUUAAAAGGAGGCAAGGCUUUAUAUUUCAUUCAAAUUGGUAAAACUACAGCACCAAUAGUCUGUGAUAGGUUAGGCAUAAGUAAUGUAAUACCUAGACCACCAGGAAGAAAGCUACACACACACACACACACACACACACACACACUCUACUCAAAAACACUAUAGACCAAAAAAAGGAAUCCAAAAAAUGUUCCAGUAUCCCACAAGAAGGUAAGAAAAGUAAACAAGGAAAUAAAAAAAAAAAGAAAAUAACAAAAAAAUACACUUAAGUUUUAGCAAAUCAAUAAUUUCACUAAAUGUGCAUUGUCCAAAUAUAUGAAUUAGAAUUAAAUUAGAAAAGUAGAUUUGCAUAGUAUAAGAUCUAAGUAUUUUUUUCCAUAAGAAACUCACUUCAAAUAAAACAAUAUAUGCAGGUUAAAAUUAAAAAGGUAUAUUGUGCAAACAUCAUUAAUUCCCAAAUAUGUGUCUAUAUGAAUAUCAGGGGAAGAAGAUAUAUUUGAAUUUGCAGGGCUAUAACAAAUUACCUGAAUUAAUUAAUUCAUAAAGAAAAAACGUGGCUGUAUAACCAAUGUGAUCCUGCAAUCUGUUCAAGUGGGAAUAAUAAGAAUUCAUACCCCAUUUGAAUCAAAUGUAUGAUAUAUGAUAUGUCAAGAUCAAUGUAAUGUUUUGAGCUACUAAUAAAUUUCUGAUGUUUAAAAAAAAAAAAAAGAAAGAAAAAAGAUUUCCAAGAUUCAGCAGCCCCAUUGCUUUGGACCUCUAGCAAGGGCAAUACAUUUUGCAGGGAGCAUGUGGUAGAGCAAAAGUUCUUUCAUCAAGAUCCAGGAUGCAAACAUGCAGUAUAGGUCUAGGUUCCCAGAAUCUCCUUCAAGAGAAUUCCUCCAACAACCAAAAACCUCCCUCUAGGCACCACCUCCUAAAAUUUUCAUCGCCUCCCAAUAGCACCACCCUGGGACUGACUAUGCCUUAAACACAUGAAUAUUUUUGGUAAAAUUCAUUGAAAUCACAACAAUAGUUCUCAGAAAAAAACUUAAAUUACCAAAGUCAAAUAAGAUCAUCAUAUAAUGAUAAGAGAGUCAAUCCACCAAAAAGAUAGAAAUACCAAAGUAUGGGUUCUAAACAACAGAUAUGUAAAAUAGGCAGGUUAAAGAACCUAACCACAGGGCUGGGGAUGUGGCUCAAGCGGUAGCGCGCUCGCCUGGCAUGCGUGCAGCCCGGGUUCGAUCCUCAGCACCACGUACAAACAAAGAUGUUGUGUCCGCUGAAAACUAAAAAAAAAAAUAAAUAAAUAUUGAAUUUCUCUCUCUCUCUCUCUCUCUCUCUCUCUCUUUAAGAAAAAAAAAAAACAUAACCACAAUUUUAGUCAUUGUCUUCAAUACCUAUCUUCAAACAAUUGACAGGACAACUACAUAUAUAAUCAGCCAGGAUUAGAAUCACCAGAAUCUCAUCAUUUUUAUACAAUAAUCCAUCAGUAAACAGGAGAAUACACAUUCUAUUCAAAGGGCCACAAUAUAUACAUCAAGAUAGGCCAUACAAAUGCCAUGAUAAACCACAUUCUGGACCAUAAGAUAAACCUCAACAAACUUAAUAGAAUUGAAAUCAUGCAGAAUGUGUUCUAUAAUAGCAAAUAAAAUUAAAAUCCAUAAGAGAAAGAUAACUCAGAAAGGGUCAUAGACUUUAUUAGAAUAUGUAAAACUAUAAAUAUUUCAGAAGAACACAUAGAAGAAAACCUUCAGGACCUAAGGCAAGGCAAAAUCUUAGAUUUGAUACCAAACAACAACAAAAAAAAGAAAUCGGGCUUUAUGAAAAUUAAAAUUUUGCUAUGUAAAAGAUAUUGUUAAAACAAGUCACAGAACAAGAGAAAAUAUUUUCAAACCAUAUAUCCAACAAAGGACUAGUAUUUAGUAACUACAAUAUAGAAAGAAUUCUCAAAACCCCAUAGGAAAAAACUCCAAUUAAAAAUUAGUCAAAGACAUAAAGAUAUACCCUACUAAAAAGGAUAUGAGAUGGGAAAUAAGCACAGGAAAAAGAUGUUUGACAUAUCAGUCACUAGGGAAAUGAAAAUUAAAACCGCAAUGACAUAUCACUAAACAUCUCUCAGGAUGACUAAAAUAAAAAUAGUGACAAACAAAAUGCUGAUAAAAGUAUAGAGAACCUCAUGAUAAGAGUUUGAUACUAGAAAUGCAAAAUGGGAAAACUACUCUAGAAAACUAAAAAAAAAGUAUCUUCAAACAUGUAGCUACUAUAUGAUCAGACACCAAUUGUACUCAAAGGCAUUCGUCUUAUAGAAACAAAGACUAUAUUCACCCAAAAACCUAUGACAAGUGUUUAUAGCCGUUUUAUUCAUAAAAGCAAAAAUCUAGAAGCAUCACAUUAGUGUACUAGAUUUAUAUACAGGGAGCAUUUUAGUUAUUUGCUUCCAUAUCCUUCCCCCACGAAAAAAUGACAUAUUUGAAGUCAGGUUUUAUCUGUGUAUAUUAGUCAGAUUUUCAUCACUGUAACAAAACAAUUGAGAUAAUUAACUUAAAGAGGAAAUGUUUAUUUUGGCUCACAGUUUUUAAGGUCUCAGUCCAUGAUCAGUUGGCCCAUUGUUUUGGAGCCUGUGACAAGGCAGAAGCAUGGAGCUAAGAAUGAAAGAGAGGAAUAGAUGGGGCCAGCUUCCCAAUAUUCCCUUUGAGAACAUUUUCCCCAAAGAUGUAACUUCUUCCCAUGAAUCCCACCUGCUAAAGUUUCCACCAUUUCCCAAAAGCACCACCGGUUGGAAGCCAAGUAUGUAACAUUUUGACCUUUAUGGAGUAUUUAUCCAAACUGCACCAUUCCACCUUUUGACCCCAAAGGUUCAUGUCUAGCUCAUUAUGCAAAAUACAUUCAGUCCAUCUCCAAGAAUUCUCAGUAUUAAUAGGUCCAGCAUUGCUCAAAAUUCCAAGUUUAAGUCUCUUCUGAGAAUCAAGGCAAAUUCAGCUGUAAAGAUCAAAAGAAAGCUACAUACUUCAAAGAUACAACCCAAGGUAAACAUUUCUAUUUUUAAAGGGAGGAACAGGGACACAGAAAGGGAGGAUUAAACCAAAGCAAACUGAAACUCACAAAGCAAAAGUUACAUAAUAUUGUUGCAUAUCUAGCAUCUGGGUACACAGUGGCAUGAUCUGAAUUCCAAAAGGUUUUGGCAUCCCUGCCCCUGUGGCUUUGCUGGCUGCAGCCCACAUGGCCACUCUCCUGGGCUGGCUCUGCUCACAGCCUAUUGGCUUCCCUUGGCAGGUGCUCCAUGUUCGUGGCAUCUUUAACUUCCUUGAGUCUCUGCUGCACAUUUAGCUUUACUCUCACAGCUUCACUAUACAUUGUCCUAACAGGGGUUACCUGCAUGGAUUCUGAACCUGCCAUACUUCUUUCAGUUUUUCCUUUGAAGUCUUGGGGGAAGCCUCCAUGAUUCCAUGAUUGCAUUCUGCAUGCUUGCAACACCAGCAUCAUGUGGAUCAUGGCAGGUGUUCCAUUAAUGCAAAUUGUACCUGGGUCUUUAUGAGCCACAUCCACAGCAGCCUCUCUUGUCUUGACUGCCAAACACAGGAAAUCAAUUACAGGAAAACAAUAUUUCAGGUGUUCUGAAACAUCACGUACAGGGUCUCUCUUCUUCAAUGAAAGUACUUGAAAUGUUUAAAAUAAAAAGGUUCCUACUAUUUUGUACUGGAGAUUGUACCCAAGGGUAUGUUAUCACUGAGCAACAUCCCCAAGCUCACCACUCCACCCUCCACUGUGUCUCACUCAUUGCUAAGACUGGCUCAAAUUUGGGAUCCUCCUGCCUCAGCCUCCCAAGUUUCUGGGAUUACAAGCAUGCACCACUACACCUGGUUAAGGGUUUACACUUUCAUACCUUUGAGCCUGCAGUGGACAGGACCUCACCAUUUUUUGAGCUGCCUUCAACACAUCUUUCUAAUUUUCCCAGUGCAAAGUAUGCUAAUCUCCUUAGCAAUGGCACCCCUUAGAAGGUCCUUUUAGGUGCUUUCCCUUUCUGGUCAAUCUGAAAGUUUUCCAAAUUUUCUUCUUUGCUCCUCUUUGUUCCUGAUUUACAUAGUAAAUUUGGCUAAAAGAAGCCAGUAAUACUCAUGCCACAGUAUGAAUGCUGUGCAGCCCUUGACAUUUCCUCCACCAGAUAAAUAAGUGCAUUACCUGUAAACUCAACUUCCCUCAAAUCUGAGAACAUGAACGAAAAGUGUUCAAAUUCUUUGCCAAUGUAUAACAAGGAUGGACUCAGGUCCAGUUUCCAAUGGAGUCCUCAUUCCAGUAUGAAACCCCAUAAACAGAAUCUCUACUGUCUACAUUUCUAUUAGAAUUCUAGUCUUUUGAGUCCUCACCAGAAUCUCCUAGUAAGCUCUUGGCUUUCUCUAGUCUAGUUUCCCACGCUUAUGCAAACUCCUUCCACAAACCAAUUUCAAAGGCUCUCCCACAUCAUCUCAGGUAGGCACAGCAACAACCCCACUUCUCGGUACCAAUUUUUGGUGUCAGCUUUCUGUCACUGACAAAAUACUUGGAACAGACAAUAAUGGGAAGGAUUUAUUUUGGCUCACAACUUCAGUGGUUUCAGUCUGUGGCCACUUGGUCCUGUUGCUUUGGACCUGUAAUAGCAUAGUACAUCCCAGUGAAAGUGCAUGGCAGAGGAGACCCAUUCAUGGAGGCUAGGGAACAAAAGGAAAGACAGAGUCUCAAUAUACUCUUGAAGAGGGUGCACCCAAUUAACUAAUUUGCUUCCAGGAGGCCCCACCUCUUAAAGGUUCUCCCACCUUCCAAUAGUGUUACAGGCUAGUGACAUGGGCCAUUUGGUGACACUUACUCCAUCCAUUACACUGUGAGAUUUGGUAUAGAUUGUUCAAGGAUGCCAACUCUGGAGCCAUGCUGUGUGGUUCAGAUCCUGUGUACUAAUUAUCUGGCCAUGGAGAGAUCACCUAAUUUCUCUUUAUUCCUUAUCCCUAAUAAUCACAAAAAUAAGGUGCACCUAUUGGCAAAACACUGGAACAGUUCUUGAUGCAUAGUAAGCUCACAACACCAACACCUGGUUUCUAGCACCUAACUCCACCAAGGAAAGAAUGAUUCAAUAAAUGUGUGUUGAAUGAGUGAAUUAAUAAAUAAUCAAAGUUCUGAAAUAAUUUCUAGGAAGCUGUUUAAAUUGUUGAUUCUUUUCUAUCCCUAUCACACUAAUCAAGCCUUUAUUGUGUCUCAUUACACUAGUGUAAUAAACUCUGGCCUAAUAAAUGAGAUAAUGCUUAACACACUUAGCUCCAUGCCUGACACAAUAUAAAUACUCAAUAAUUAAAGCCAUGAUUGGAUUAUUAAAUCUUUUGAACUCCUUCAAAAUUCAAUCCCAGGGAACCAUUCUCUACUUGUUCCCAUAAUAAAGUAUAACAUACUUAUUUAAAAGUACAUAAAUGUCUGAGCAUAACAUUUAAAGCCUUAUAACCUGACUAUAACCUUACCUUUAUGUACUAAGACUUUAAAGUCUUAGUUUUAUGUACUAAGAAAGUGCUCAAUAAAUAAUAGCUAUGAUUACAGUUCUACCCCAAACUCACCCAUCCAUUUAUCCAUCAAAAUCAUUCUUCAAGCAUUCAUUCAUUGCUUGCCUUUAUACCCCUAGGGGCCAGCACAGUACCUAGUACAUAAUAAUGCUUGUUAGGAUCUGCUGAAUCAGAUUGAAGAGGAGAGAAGUGCUAAAGUCACCAGUUUUCAUAAUUCCCGAAACCUACACUAGUUUUGAGAAUGUGAUCAUUGUAACUGAGUUCCAUGUGCAAUGUUUGGUAAUGUGCUUGAGUUUCUAAGUCUGCCACUUACUUUCAAAAAAAUUUUUUUUUUAAAUUGCCAAAUGAAUCUCCUAGAAAACCCUGAGUGUGUGUCUCUAAGGGGUAGGUCUGAGCUGGUAUUAUAGGAGGCUCCAUCAAUCUGAUCCCCCCUCUCCCUUGCUCCUUGUCCACCUCAUCACUCCUCCUUGCCACCACACCUUGUGCUGUCCAAAUCUCUCCUGUGUCCUUUCCAACCCUUGCAGCAACUGUCACUCUCCUUCCCAUCAAAGAUUCCAAUUCCUACAGUCUUAUUCUCAGCUAUUUUAUUGAUAUUAAUAGCUUGAUGACUAAAACAACUUGCUGUUUUUCUGCUGUCACAUUAUUUGAGUCCUUGAGUAUUUUGAGGUAAUUCCUGCUUUAACUUCAUAAAUCCAAGCCAGGAAUUUUACCUCAUCCUUCAAAUUACUGCCACCAAACACAGUGCCAAUGAUGAAAAUAGAGUCUUUUCAGAACACGGAAACCAACUUUUUAUAAAUCUAAGCUUGAAAAAAAAUUAAAACUUCAAUUUUAAAAGGAAAAGUUUAUACUUAUCAUAGAAUUGAAUCAACUACUUCUUAAAGCAAGAAGACCACUACCAGGAUAUAGAGAUCUACUAAUAUUUUCAUUUAGUUGAUUUUUUCUCUGUGGUAAAAUUUUCUGACAUGAUUUUGACAGACUUUUCUAAAUAGAUUUUUCUACCAAAAUUUUCCCCACAUCUUUCAUUAGCUAGUUCAUUUUUCAUUAGUAAUUCUGUCCUUGGCCAAGAUUGAUUUACACAGUGCUCUUUCUGUGGCUGGUUUUAACAUAAUCAUUGUUUUACAUUGACCUCUUUUACUGUAUCCUAAUUUUUUACCAUUUAUGGAACAGAUAUUUUUAAUAUCUGGUCCAUAUUUGGUCCAUAACUGGUCCAAUUUUUAAAUCUACGCCUUUGAGUUUUUUAAUUUUUACAUGUAUGAUAUUGUCUGAUCAUACAAACAUAUUUUUAAUCUACAAUCUAUGUGAAUUUCUUAAGCUCCUAGCUUCUUCUUUUUUUUUUCCUCUUUUCUUUUUUUUUAUUGGUUGUUCAAAACAUUACAAAACUCUUGACAUAUCAUAUUUCAUACAUUAGAUUCAAGUGGGUUAUGAACUCCCAUUUUUACCCCAAAUACGGAUUGCAGAAUCACAUCGGUUACACAUCCACAUUUUUGCAUAAUGCCAUAUUAGUAACUGUUGUAUUCUACUACCUUUCCUAUCCUCUACUAUCCCCCCCUCUCUUCCCCUCCCAUCUUCUCUCUCCACCCCAUCUACUGUAAUUCAUUUCUCUCCUUGUUUUUUUUCCCAUUCCCCUCAUAACCUCUUAUAUGUAAUUUUGUAUAACACUGAAGGUCUCCUUCCAUUUCCAUGCAAUUUCCCUUUUCUCUACCUUUCCCUCCCACCUCAUGUCUCUGUUUAAUGUUAAUCUUUUCCUCCUGCUCUUCCUCCCUGCUCUGUUCUUAUUUGCUCUCAUUAUAAGCUCCCAGCUUCUUAACACAGAACUUCCAGCCACAGGCAAACUGUGUGGCCCCAAGCUCCACCCAAGGCCUUGUGACCCAGAGGUCACAGUGCCUUUGAGGUGAUUUGUGGGCCAAGGAGGAUGGUGCCUCUUGCUGAUUUGAGUUCAUCUCUAAGGUGUUUUUCAAACUUUGCUAUUUAUGAUUUUUGUGAAAUACAUUUUUCCACUUUUGCUUAUUUUUGUUCCCUGUCAAAAGACAAACACCACAAUUUCAUCAUGGUCAGAAUCAUUUUUCUUCUUCAACGUCUAAUGCCUUGUGGCUCAGCCAAGCAUGAGGUCUGGCUCUCUGUGCUUUAGGAUGAAUUUUCCUCUGUGACGUGCUUGGCCUGUAUGCACAGUUCUAUCACCUGAAAUGGUGGUACACCACCAUUUCAGCAGACCUAACCAGCAUGCCUGAGCCCUGGGAGGGGGCCAACCCUGGAUUCAAGGUGAAGGCCCACUAUAUUCAAAGACUAAAUUCAGGAAAAGACAGAAAUUGGUUGUAUUAAGCCCUUUUGUGGGGUUGUUUUUUCUUUCUUUCUUUUUUUUUUAAAGAAUUUUUUUUCACAACACCUUUAUUCUAUUUAUUUUUAUGUGGUGCUGAGAAUCAAAUCUAGGGCCUCACACAUGCUAGGCAAGUGCUCUACAACUGAGCUACAGCCCCAGCCCAGUGAGGUUGAUUUUUGUGUUUUGGUUUUUCAUUUCAAAAGGGAGCAUCUGAAAACAAUAUUUUAAUUCAAAGAAAGAAAUGCCUAAAAGCAAAACUCCUGUCAGCAGACAAGGAAAUAAUUUUGGAGGUUUUUCUAUCAAACUACUCUACACAAGGUCACAGCAGCAGCCUCCUCAAAAUCUAGGCCUUCCUAACUCCCUCAGAGGAACACUCUCAAUAAGCUGCAGGGCUAUCAGACAAUCCCCCUGGAAGGUAUCUAUUCCUGUCCCAGGACACUCAAACAUCUCAGGAGCUUGCCAGCGGCCACCCACUGAGAAAACCUUCACAGAGGGUUACUGCAGUGGAUUUCCAAUCCAAAAACAACCUGACAUUUAAGUUUUACCACUAAUUACUCUAACAAUCAAUCCAUUGUUUUCUAGUACCACCUCUAGUUUUUUUUUUCUUUCCAUCCAAACUUUCUUUUGGAAAAAAAGGUCAUUUCCACCUGGCUGAAUUUACUUUCUAACUGCAGAGAUGUGUGAGAAUCUUUCUUCUGGAUUUAUGUUUAAAACUAUCUAAGACAGCUCUUUAUUCCGUUUUUAGAAGGCUUCUUUUCCAAAGUGUAUGGACAAUGUUUGAUCAUGUAGUUGUUAGAUUGAGCAUUUGUUCAACACAGGAAGGGGAAAGUGGGGACAUUGACAUUUGCAGAGCAUUUUACCAGAUUCUUAGGGUGAGCAGUACUGCUUUCAUUUUACAGAUGGGAACAGAGGACCAAAAGUUUUUAAUAUGCUCAAGUUCAAACAACUCUUAAAGCAGAGAAGAGUGAGUUUGAACCCAGAUCUAUCAAACUCUAGAUUUCAUCCCUUCUCUAUAUACCAAAGCCUUCUGUGAGUCAGAGAGUUCUGCAGACAGUUCUUUCCAUACCAGGCAGGACCUGUUCUUACCAACAUGUAGUUAUCUAUUUCCCAACAUACCUCUUAAUGGCUGUUCUUGCACCAUGUUAAAAGAAUAUUUCUGCCCAUGUCUGCCUCCAUUAAUCUAUUUUCAUUGUGUAUUUUUUUUAUAUCUCAGAGGUGCACAGUUCUAGAAUUAAUUGAUAUAUUAUUGCAAAGUCCUAGACUGCAAACACAACCUCUUUCUCUGGGAGACUACUCAUUUAGAUGAAAUUACUGUGAAUAUUCUGCCAAGUAACAGCUACUGUUAAUAUAUGGGAUCAGGCUGAAAGAUUUAAGUCUAAAAUCUCAAAACAUUGUGCUUUGGGAAGGUAGAGUUGAUUGUUACCUCCUUCAAUUAAUUGUAAAAGUUCCUUAAUAUAAGAAAGUUUUGUACAAAUUAAUUGGGAAAUCAGUGAGCCCUAAAUUGUAUAACAGUUUGAUAUGCUGCAAUGAAGUGGAAAAUUAACAGUAAUAUAAAUUGGUAAAGGGUAAUCGGAAAUAUUAGGUGAAGGUUACAUACAGUCAAAUAUUAGUAUAGAACAUGCCUGGAAUUCUGGGUAAUUAACUUUCCUCUGUAAACUCUCCUAAAUUUUGAUUUGUAUGAGCAGUUUUGUUAAAGAAUUCUACAAAAUAUAUUCAACCAGUGAGGUCAGUUUUGCUAAGUAUACAUGAGAAAAAAAGUGAAAUAUGUAUACAAGAAUACAAAUCAUUGGAUUGACUCUGCCUGAAGAAAACAAAGUAGCUGUGUACAAAUGUAACUGGACAAUUUCAAAAUUCUAAAGUAAUUUGUAACAUACUGUCUGAUUACAAUAGCCUACAACAGCAUCUUGUUUCUAAAAGGCAAAGUGGCCAUGGUCAUGAUUUGUGCAAAAUUUAUGUCACCUACUUUGGGUUGAACUUCAUUUAAACAAUUGAAUUCUGUAAGCAAAUAAAGUAGGUUUUUAAAAAUAUUUUUCUUUUCUUGAUGUUGGAAAGAGAUCUGUAGUACGUCAACCCAUUCCCUCUGAGCAAAAGCAUUCCCCAGUUUUCUCAAAAUUUCUCUCCUCUGGAAAGUGCUGUACCAUCUUCACAACACAAAAUUCCAUCUCCUGCUCCUAGGACUGCACUCAGAGCAGCAUCCUUCACUUGUCUUCUCAUUGUGCACUAUCUCUUUUUUUUUUUUUUACUUAUCUUUCACAACUGGUUCCUCGUAUCUUAUACAUAUGCAGUUUAUACACCAAUGUUAGACUCUAUAGCCCCAGAAACAGAGGCGUGCUAUCCCUCAAUGUCCUGUGUGCUGCUCUAUAUAGAGCAGGUGCUCACUCAGUGCAGAGCUACUGACUUACCCAGCACACUGGUUUUCAAAAUUUUAACCAGGGCAUACUUUUUUGAAAAACAUGCAAUAUUUAACUAAAAUAGUCUAUUAAUAUGGAAAGUGGAAUCAGAUCAAAUUAUUUUGAAUUAUUUUAGUUCACACAUAUAUCUUAUUGCGAUUGAUAUGGAGAUACACACACACACACACACACACACAGUACUGGGAUGGUCAGGUCCCUAAUAAAAUUUAAAUGAAAUCUAAACAUAAUAUGCAAGAAUUUUAGAAUUAAAAUUCCAGACGAGGCCUUGAGACAUUAUUAAAUCAUCAUUCUGCCUCAGCAUUAAUUUCUCUUUUAAUUGUUUGUUUUGAAACAUAGUAUAAUACUAUAAUAUCUGAAGUUAUUUUCAUUAUACCUUUUUCUUCCUUAAUAACUGUGGGCUAUAUUUUCAAUUGAAAUGUUUGGGCACACACUCACUACUCUAUAGUUUUCUGAUAAGCUGCUGUGUAUAUGUUUUUAAAGCUUUGACUCUUCCAAGUAUCAGUUCUACUGUUGCUUUAGCAGACUUUAAAAAAAAUUCUGUAAUUUUAUUAUUCCAUUUCCUUUUCAAUGAUCCAGUGCUGUUUAGACUUUUUCAUCUUGAUAUGUUGAAAUAGAAAUUCAUCUGACAUUGAGCUUGUACAGAAUUCUAACCAUGAAUCAUUCAUAAAGGAAAUACUUAAUAAAAUUGACAGGAAUCCCUGGACUUUGCCUUGAAUUCUGACUUUCUUGGAAGGAGAAGAAGUAUGUAUAUUAGACCAAUACAAAAUACCCAUGACAAAUUAACUAUGAAAAAUUAUAAUAUCUUAAUCUUUUUAAAUGUAUUAACCUGGAACAACCUAAGAUAAAUUUUGAAUGAAAGCUAAAAGCUUUCCUCUGCUCAUGUCCAUUAUACACCCAGACCAUCUCCAGCUUGUGGAACUUGACCCUUAUGGUCACUCAAAUCCUAACUCAGGAAGUCGGUACUAAAACUAGCAUGGUAUAUUCAAGAUGGAAAGCAGUAAAUCUGGCAUUCAAUAUGGUGCCCAAACUCCUGUUCAAAUCUAAUACUCACAAACCUUGUGUCCCAGGACCACUGCCAAGAGAGAUGCAUGAAACUUCAACCCCUCAGGAAUAUUUUGAGGGGAAGCAGAAUUGGGAAGAACUUUAUGAUUUGUAAUAGAACCUAGUGGACAAUUCUGAAGAAGGAAGUCCUACUUCACAAUUGAAUUAUCCAUCCCUAGGGGAAUUAAGAUAAAUUGCAGCUUUUGCAGAGAAAUCUCAAAAGCAAAGUCCCAGUGAGGACAGGAGAAUAGCAUUGGAAGAGAAGCAGCAGAAAGUGAGAAAUGGGAAUAAGGAAGAAGGGGAGGAGAAAGGGAAGAGGCCAAGGCCCAAUCUGAGAACCUUGUAGGAAAGCCUUGCUGGAAGCCACCUCUCACUCCAGCUCUUCCUCUCUCCCAUAUACCCAUAAACUCUAAAAAGGUUUAGGUUACAAAAAAGGGUUGAUUACAAUGAUCUGCAUUGAGUGGCAAGAGAACAACCCUCACCCUUCCUAGUAAGGGAGCAGGGUUGAUAGAGAUACACAGAGCAGGGUAAAUGAGCUGAACUCCGAAGAAGCUGGAACAGCACCAGAAUGCCUGUCAGCAUCUUACCUAGCAUCUGCCUCUCUGGCAGAUUGGAAUUUUCCCAGACCACAGUGUUUUUCUUAGUGGUUGCUCAUCAUGACUGUAUGAGGCAAAGCUGUUCCACAGGUGACAGGGUGCUGGGCCCCAUCCCCCAGAAAGUUCCAUUUCUAAAGUCUCAGGUACAAACCAUUUAGUUUUUGACAAACGUGCCAAAUAUUUGUUGUGAUUAUUACCACGUUUGAUAACAUAAAAUCUAGAACUGAAAUAUCACCAAUUUAAUUAAUAAGUAGAUUUUUAUGUUUCAGCAUCCUUCAAUCUGAAGAAAAUGCAUAUUAAACUAUGUUCAAUAAUCAUUCACCAAAAAAAUGCAGGUUUGAAUGCAUUUAAGGGAAAAACUUUGUUAGACAGUUGACCAAAACUAGAAUGAACUGAGGUCUUCUCCACUUAACAUGUUCAAAUAGAAUCUGAACCAUAAUACAUGAUUCGAGAGGGUUCAUGAAUCAGGCAGUUUUGUGGAAUUGUGUGUGUGUGUGUGUGUGUGCAGAGAAAUAAGUAUAAAUGGCAGAAUGUUAACAAUGAUUGAAUCCAUAUGGAAAAUACAUGGAUUUUCAUUUUUAUAAUAAAAUACAGGCAUGUGGCACAUAACAUUACUGCCAAGAAUAGACAACAUAUAUGAUGGUGUUCCCAUAGAAUUAUGACGAAGGUGAAAAACUCCUGUGGCGGUGACAUCAUAGCCAUCUUAAUGUAAUAGUACAACAUAUUACUCAUGUUUGUGGUGAUGCUGGUGUGAACAAACGCACUGUGCUGCCAGUCAUACAAAAAUAUAAUACCUACAAUUACAUCCUGUGCAUAAUUCUUGAUAGUGAGAAUACACAACUGUGUUACUGGGUUAUGUCUUUAUUAUGCUAGGUUUUUAUCAGUUUAGACUGUACUUCUACUUAACAAGGAAAAGAAGUUUACUCCAUAGCAGUGUACCAUGUUGUGUCAGCAGUAGCCCCAGACAUCCUAUAUUUAUUACACCUCUUAACUGCAUCAAAAAAGUCAUGUCCAGUGAUUGACCUAUUAUCUAGGUUUAUGUAAGUGCACAUUAUGAUGUUCAUACAAGGAAGUGUUUCUGAGAACAUAUCACCAUCACUAAAUGAUGUGUGACUAUACUGAAAAAACUUAAGCAAACUUCUUAUGGGCAUAACCUGAGCAUCCUCAAAUACAGGCAUUUGGAUUGUUCCAACUUUUUAUGUUAAAUAAACUAGCAAUGAGGCUCUCACAGAUGCUUAUGUAUAGAUAUUUACUUAUACAAUCCCCCAAACUAGAACGACAAAAGAAAAGUGUGGACAUAUGUACAUUUUUCAGUCAGUAGUUGCAAGAUUUUUUGUGUUAGCUUUCCAUCACUGUGAUAAAAAUAUCUAAGAAAAAUAAUUUUAAAAAAGGAGAGAUUUAUUUUGUUUCAUGAUUUCAGAGGUUUCAAUUUGAAGUCACUUGACCCCAUUGCUGUGGGCUUGUGGUGAGGCAGAACUCUAGCGGUGAGCACAUAGUGAAGCAAAGCUGCACACCUUAUGGCAACUGAGAGUCAGAAAGAGAGAGGGACAGGGGACAAGAUAUUAUCCCCAAAGUUACCAGCCAAAAGAUCCUCUCCCUCCAACUAGGUCCUACCUCCUACCUAUUCCACCACUUCCCAAUAGUCCAUUCAGCUAUUAACCCAUCAAUAGAUUAAUCUACUGAUGACAUCAAAGCCCUUAUGGCCCAAUUACCUCUCAAAAGCCCCAUCUCUGAACACCACUGCAUUGGGGACCAAGCCUUCAACACUUGAGACUUCAGGGGAAAUUUUAGAUUCAAACAUUUUCCCUUCUAUAAUUGGUGCCAUUGUGUGUUCCCUUCCACAGUGUACGAGAUGGCCCAUUCCCUAAGUGUUAGACUGGUUAUUACCAAUUUUUAAAAAAAUAUUUUCCACUAAUAAAAGUUAGUAUGCAUUCUUUUAAUUUCCAUUUAUUUCAUCAAUAGUGAGCUUGACUUUGUUUCAUUUGUUUAUUUGCCAUUUGUAUUUUUUCUUCUGUUUUAUCCCUGAAGUGUUUGUAUUUCCUUGCUGAUUUUACAUACCCCCUUUUAUAAUUCCUCAUAUUACAAAGUCAUGUAAUGUACUUUUUGUCUUUCAACUUUGCCUACGGUAUUUUUAAAAAAAUAUAUUUAUUUUUUAGUUGUAGUUGGACACACUAUCUUUAUUUCACUUAUUUAUGUAUUUCAGUCAGUAGUUGCAAGAGGAUCUCGCACAUGCGAGGCAAGCACUCUAUAGCUGAGCCACAACCCCAGCCCACCUAUGAUAUUUUCUAAUGUGGAGUGUAUCUUUCAUUUUCACAUAAAAUUGUUUUCUUUUGGAUUUCAGCUUUAGUUCUCAUGUCCAGAAAGUUCCCUCUUAUUCCUAGAUUACAAAUAGCUAGUCUAUAAUUUUUUACACUACUGUAAAUUAUAAUCUAUUUGGAAUUUAACUUGACAUAAAUAGCUGAGCUUUUGCUGUGUUCUGGCUUUCCCCAGAUACAGUAAAAUAAGUACCUUUCUUUCAUGGCUUCAUGGCUCCAUGUUUCUCCAGAAAGUCAUCUGCCAAGACUAUUAGGAUUAUUAAUCCAGGAUCUUAAUUGAGUUUACACAAAAAUCUAGUCCUAAAUUUCUUGCCAAUAUGAAAUUUUGAAUUAAAAAAGCAUUGCUGACACAAAUAUCCAGGGAGUGAUCUUUCAGAACAUUCAUACAAGUUUCUGAAGUCCUAAAAAAUGAUUUUAGAACUAUCCAAGUAUCAUGAAGUGUGAACUUCUCUGCCACCCCACAGGCAGGAAAUGGGCUGUGUCUUUAUUCCUUUAAGAAGUGAGUCGAAGUCAGAAGUAACAUUUCCCACAGUCUGAGAGUCUAUCAAGAUCCCUGCUCACAGGAAAAAAAGGACAAGGUUUUGUUCCGUGCUGCUGCCUCUUCAUUGUCCUACACGUAUGACAAGUCCAAGUGUGAGGUUUUCUUUACAAGACUUUUCAGGGGUCCUUUGAUCACAGAUCUGUCAUUAGAAAGACAGAGGAACUUGAAGCUGAUAGUAAAGAAAAGAAAAUUGUCUCACUGAAUUAUCAAACAUUUUUGGUCUCCCUUUUUCACUCAGGUGGAUUCCUAAGGAUUUCCCAUCACUCUGUGGUAACUGUGUGGAGACUGUGUGUGUGUGUUUGGCAGGACUAAGGUAAGAGGGGGCAUAUUCUGAUUCCUAUGAAACAAAGCUUAGGCCCUUUUCCACUUUUUUUUUCAUGGAAGUAUUAUGAAAAUAAUGUACUCUAGUGAAGUAUUAUGAAAACUAGAUGUCCAUGCAUGGGACAGAAUAAACAUAAUGUAUUUGUUCUUUCCAAAUCACAGUGUCUCUGUUUUCUCUUUCAGCUGAAUGCCAAUAAUUUCAGUCUUUUCAAGCUAAUGAAUUUGUUUGCUUUUCAACCAGCUAGCUACCUUAUGCAUAAAGUUAAAAAUCCUUCUGUGAGUGUUAAUCAAAAUUUUAUUUCAUACCUUCCAAGAAGUUCAUAACCCUUCCCUCCCGUAUUAGUCUCCCCCAAGAAACAGGCAUCAUUCUUGUGUUUAUUAGUAUUUUGCUAUAUUUUUCUCCCAGUCAUCAGGAUGAAGUCAUCUGGCUGAACAGGUUUAUUUCUUCCCAAUCAAGAAAAACCAGGCCAGCCCCUUUAUAGGAUAGUCACUGUGUGCUAAUGGUUGUUUAAAGCACUGUUGCAGAGUGUGUCAUUUAUGAAACUGAUUCAGGAUGCAGCAGAAACAUGGCCAUGUUCUCUUCACAUGUUCAAUGAUAUAAGCAAGUAUUAAGGGCUGUGAAACCUAAGUGCCUAAUGUCUGUAUGCUAGUGGCAUUCAUGGAGUUUAUCAUUUGACCCAGAGCCCACUGAGGACUACAAAUUAGUAUAUUUAUGAUAUAUUUUUGAAAGCUACUACAAACCAGGAUACUAACACUCUGUAUACCCGUACUAUUUUGUCUUUGCUUUCUCCCUUAACAGUGUCCAUCUAGAUCAUACAUAAUGAAAGAUUGGCAGUGAUACAGAUGUUGGGAGGUACCAUAGCUUUUGAAAGCUAUGAUUUAGCCAGGUGGAAUCCACCCUGUCUCAGAUAGAGAGCUUGCAAGCUCUGGCAUGUCUCCCUGUGCUGAUCUGCCAGCCUCCACACAUUAUGUUUUGAAAGCACUUCCUCCAACUGCCGCUGAAUUGGCAGGGUGGACCUCCUGUGGAUCAGUUUUUCCAUUCUCUCAGUCCUCUUAAGCAUGGCAUUCUGUUGUCUGUCAACUUUCUAUUCUAGUCCAGACCCUAGUCCUUGGUCUUCUGAGAAAUCUGGGAGUUACUGGAAAGGAGAAAAACCUUGUUAAUGUGUGGACAUACAGCCAGGCAUAUGAUCCAUCCCCACCUCUCCAGAUAUAUCUCCCUGACUUUGGAUUAGCAAUGGGCAGGGACAGAACAGAAGCCAUGUGAUCAUUGGGUUAGCUUACACAAGUUUCUUUUACUGAAUGUGUGCUGGGCACCUCAUAUAUCUUGUGCACCUGUGAUAUAUAGCCAGAAUCCAUUUAGGUCUUCAUGAAGCCCAGGGAUCAUCUCUCUCUGGACCCAGCCUAGAGCUGUCAGUGACAUCUCAUGAGCUAUUCUUUUGAUCCAUUUCAGUGGAGGGAUGUUAUUUUAAUUACCUUCCAAAUAAAAGGCUAAAUCAACAAUUAUUUUUUGAGUCUAACUCUUUGCCUAGAACUAUCUAGAAUACUUAAGAUGGCACAAAUGUGGUGUAAGACAUCUUUCCUCAAAGUACUUAAAAUUUUAUUAAGGAAUCAAAACCACACCCAGAACCAUGUGAGAAAAAUAAGAGGUUAUAAAUUAAAUAUGAUGACACAUGUCUUAGUAAUAAAACAGAAAUUCCAAGAAAGAAAAGAUAUGAAUGUAAUGGAAGUGUUCCUUUAUGAAGGAGAUCAAACUUAAAUGAUUAAUUUGUAGUUUUUUGCUUUGUAGAAAAAUCAUAAAGUAUGAAAAUUAAAUGCAUCAUAAUGAAAGGCUUUGAUGUUUUCAAGGGACAACUGAAUCAAAAGUACCUUUGUGAAGGAAUAUAUUUAUAAUGGUAUUAGUAAGAGUUACCACUUAAUGAGGGCUUUCUGUGUGCCAGGUGAAAAAAAUAAUGCCAUAUAUGAAUUAAUGUCUGAUGGCAUUUCAUCUACACAGUAAACCCAGAUGCUAUUAUUAGGCUCACUCUAAAGAUAAUGAAACAAAAGUCUGCAGUGACUAAAAAGUUUCCCAUUGUCACAGCAAGGAGUAGUUCUAAGAUUCAAACAUAAAUUCUUGGACUCUAGGACAAAGACUUCAACCAGCUUCAGCAAAAUCAUUCUCAGUGUUAAUAUUACCCACAGAAAGAGUUUGAAUAUUAAUUGGUCAAAAAUUCCCAGUCAGAGCUCACGUUACUUACGGUGCUUAGAACGAGAAUAGUUUGGAGAACUGUUAAUAAAGUCUAUCUGAGGAUGGCUCUGGUCUCAUUUCUGAUUUUCCACACUAGUAAACAGAUGGUAGUGCCUGUUGGUGAAGCAUGUGAAUUGGUACCUGUAGGGCUACAGUGCUGCUCAUCAUAGUGGCCACAUGAUUUAAAACUUGAUGUUAUUAGCAAUCAAGAAAACUCCACUGGUUCCAUGAGGACAGCACUUACUUAAAUUUCCACUAAGACCUCACAGAUUCCCUGGAUUGCCUCAGUAGACCUGCCUACUUGUGACUAUGCCUAAUCUAGAUCUCUCAAACCGCUCUCCUAUGGGGCAAAGUCUCUGGACCAUCCACCACCUAAGCCAUCUUUAACAUAAGCCUCAACAAGCCCACCAUGAAGCCAUGUCAGUCUUCUCUUAAUGCUAAGUCAUAGUAACUAUUUAUUCAAAAAACUAUGUGCCAGUUCCUGCCCUGGGAGAGGAAUGUAUUACCUAACCUGACAACAUAUUCAAGUCAUGCUGUUAGAGGGGAUUAUUACUACUAAGAGAAGAUCAUUGGUUUGAAAGAGUUACAAUCUAUGACUAUAAGGGUAUUUCUUGAGUUUUCCUAGAAAGAACCAAAAAUGGAUCCCAAUAGCCUUGGAUAUAGCUUGGUAGAAGCAGGAUGGAACCACCAAGGAUGGCAAAGGGGUAUACAAUGAAGGUGGAGAGUUGAGGAGACAGGUGGAAGAGGAGCCCUCCAGGUUCUACCUACAUUAGUUAUCUAUAGAUACAUUUAAAAGUCACCUCCAAAAUUUUGUGACUUAAAAAUAUGAUAAUCAUGCAUUACCUCUCAGGGUUUCGGUGGAUCAGGAAGUUUCAGGGUACAGUAGAGACAGCUUGUUUCUCUCAAGGUGUCUGGGUCUUUUCUGGAAGACUCAAAGCAUCUACAAAUGGCUUCUUCAUUUGGUCUGAGCCUCCUCACAACAUGGUGGUGGACUCCAUAGGAAAGCAUCCUGACAGAGAGAAAGGGACACAGCUGCAUCUCUGUUAGACUUAACCUCAGAAGUCACACAACACCACUUCCACCAUAAUUGAUUAGAACCUAAAUUCACAGGAUGAAGACGUAGGACCCACUUCUUGGUGGAGACAGUGUAAGUCACAUGAUUGGAAUUAGAUAAACAUAUUUGUAUGGCUUUCCUUAGAGAUAGUCUACCUUACCACCUAUAGCUGAAUCCAAAUGGACCAUCAGAUGAUACAAAGUAUAUAGUAGCUGGAUGUAUUUGUUCUCUCCCCCAAAUGCCAACCAUGUUGGACACUGUUUAGCAAUCCACUGUAUAUACAUUUCCUUUACAUACUAUCAUUAUUAUUGUGCUGGAUAAUUACAUUAUCAAUAUCAUUAAGCUGGAAGCCAGGGUUCCCAAAAUCCUCUUCUUUAUGUGGUUCUAAAUUUGCUGGUAAAAAAAAAAAAAAAAAAAAAACUUAGAAUGUGGGAGUGAAGCAAUAGGCAUUGCUCUCUAAAAUCAUUGUAGUGAGAUACAGUGAAAGACAGAUGCAGAGUUGACCAGCAAGUUCCUGUUUAUCUUAGUCUCUUCCACUAUGAAUUCAGCUUAUUUUCCUGACUGCUGAUCAUGAUGACCAGUGGUGGCCCAAUGGCCAUUACUGGAUGCUUGGCUGUAGACCCAUAGAUACAGCAGGUUUCUAUAGACUUUUGCACUAGUUCUUGCUGUGUUUCCCACCUCAAUAGCUGACCAUGCUUAGCUUCUCAAAUUUUCCAGCAAACUCACCUAUGAAAGUAUUUUAAGAGAACAUUAAUAACUCUUUUCCCAUUAUCCAAUUUCCCUUUUGACAAGCACCCAUCUGGCUCCUUCCACAGGUUUUUAAGGUCUGAUCCCUAUAACAAAUCCCUGAUUCUGUAACACUCAUAGUAGUGCUAUUUCUCUGGCUGGACCUAGACUAAUAGAGUUCCAUGAGGUAAAUUCAUGGGAACAUCUGGAUCAAUAUCACCAAAUCUAUUUUCUGCCUUAAGACAUUUAAGAUAAUGUGCACACUGGGGCACAAAAAGGGCUUUACGCUGAGUUGUAUGCAUCUGUAUCAUAAAAGGGCAGAAAAGGUCCAGAAUAUUGGGUUACCUGAUGUUUAUUUCAGCAAGAUGAGUCAUAGAAAGAAAGAUAUUUAAACACAUAGCUUGCGAAUAAGGAUGCAGUAAAACUGUUUCUCAAGUACUUAUAUUACCAUCAUGUUGGAGAGAUCAAGGAAAUUUUCUUGCCUGAUUCCUUUAUUUUUUUUUUAAUGAGGAAUCAAUCCCACAGGUGUUUAUUAGGAACUUCUUUGGCCCACUGAUAGCUAAAACCUGUCAAGGUUGGGCAAGGGGACAAGCAAGCUAUGAAUCUUACUAAGAAUGUACAAUCUAGUAAACAAGAGGUCUAAAAUAUAGAUAACUCUAAUGAAAGAUCAGAGAUUUUUAAAACUUGUGAUGAGAAAAAAUCAAAUGUGGUAAAUAAGAGUUUAGAACAAAGCACACUGCAUGUGGUUUGUUACUAGUCUUUGAGCAGAGCCAUGAUGAUUUAGUACUAUUUUAUUCAUUCACCAAAUAUUUUUUAAAUAUUUUAAUUAAGGUUUUUUGAUACCAACACAUAAUCAUAUUGUAUACAGAUGCAUAAAUAUUAUCAUAUAGCUGCACCUGAACUUGCAAGUUGAAAAUCAAAAACUUCAUUUUAAGGAAAAGUGUGAGGAAAGGAAGUAAGCAGGAGGCAGGGUGACAUUCUCCCUCGCAGCAGCCCUCCAGGGAAGGCCUUCAGGUGCUGCAGCUGUAGCUCCAUGACAGCCUCUGGCAGAGAGAUGUAGUUCUCCAUGUUCUGUUAAAAAUGCCAUCUUUCUGUGACUCAAGGCCCUGCAAAGCUAGGAAAAUAUAGACUCAGGAGGAGAGGAAGUUUGUCUUGGCAACAGGACUGGUCUUCAAUACACUGCCACUCAUCCUCAUCAUCAGUGAGUUCUGAAGGUCAAAAACCACACCUUAGUUCACACAGUCCAUCUAAUACCCAAGUGGAAUAACACUCCCAGGCCUUGAGAAGCAACCUACCUAAGAAAACAAAUGCAACAGUAGGCGCCUGUUAGAAAGAGCUUCCUCUGAACACCAAAAAAAAAAAAAAAACAGGAACAAAGCAGCUUCUGUCCUCAGGCCAAAGUCUGUUCGUGAGAAGACAUGCUUCCCUUUGUUCUCCUACCUUUCAUUAGACUGAACCUCUGUGAUCCCUGCCAGCAGACACCAGUGAGAGUUUCCAUCUCUCAGACAGCCCUCCCAGCACUUGUCGUCAUUGUCCCUUCCUUAUACUAAGGUAGCAAGUGUCUACUACUCACUCAGACCUCAGCUCAAGACCAGAGGAGCAUGCCUGAGAACUUUUCUAGGUGUAGAACUGCAAUUUUUCAUUGCAAAAUAAAACUCCACAAGUCCAAAACAAGCUUCAACCUUGAUUUCCUGAAAGAAUGUAUAGAACACUCAAGGAGAGGUAGAUUAGAGGACUCCUAAUGCAAAUGAUCUUUAGAGCCUUCAGGAGAAGUGAACAGCCCUUCCUACAACACUGGCCUCCAGUCUUCUCCCAACACCAUAGCCUGAAAGAAUGAUCCUAUCACCCUAUCACCCGUGACUACCAAUUACCUAUCUAUAUGUAUGUAGAGAAGGUUAAGUGACAUUUAUUAGAUGAAACUACUAUGAAAGAGAUAGACUAUCUUAGAUGUAGUCCUAUCAGAGGGAUUAGAACAAGAAAAGGUCAAGGACAAAUCACAGGUGUUUCUGAUGCUCUUCAUAACAUUCUUCAACAUACUCCAAAACUAUUAACAUCAAAAUUGGGCAAUAUCAGCUUGACACUCUUACUAACUGAACACAUUAAAGAUUCAGUGGUAGGUAUUUAGAUGAAAAAUUAGUUUAAAUAUUUCUUAUGUACCUUAGGAAUCAAGUACUGAUUUUACAUGACCAGGGAUGACACAUCAAUAGAAGAGACAUGCACAGACUAGAGCAAUGGUUCUCAGCUGGGAGUGAUCUGCUCUCUGAGGCAUAUUUGCCAAUAACUGCAGACAGUUUUGCUCAUCACAACUUGGAGGAUUGGGUGGUACUACUAGUGUCUAGUGCAGAGAGCUUAGAGAUCCAACAAUGUAUAAGAUAACCUCCUUCCCCUAACCAAUAAUUAUCAAAAUGUCAAUAAUCCUGAGGUUUAGAAGACCAGAAUUAGAACUACCAUGUCUUAACUCAUAUCUUUUCACCAAUAAUGAAUUUUAAAAUAAAAUGUAAUAAUUUGAAUCUUAAUUCACACUUUGAGCCCCUCUUAUCCUCUAAGCCCUUCUUCCUAUUAUAGUCUUGAUAUUAAAAUUUGGAAAGAAAGCACCAAAAGCCCCAAAGCUAUGCUUGCGAACAAAAUAAGCAUCUCUAUGAAACAGAAUCAGAGAGCAGUGUGGAACAGAAGCCUUCCUGAAUCUGGGAACCAUCACAGUCUUGAUUGUUGUACAGUUCGAGUCUUGUACAAUGGAGAGGGUAUGGAUUAGAAUAAUUUUCACUAUAUAAAAGAAAGUUGUAAAAGUAAGUUGAGAAAAGCUGGCAUUUGCAGUUCUCUGGGGCAAUGACUUGCAGGAAGCUGGGAUCUCAGACAGUAAAGGAAACACACACAGACUCUCAACCAGGACCUGAGCCCAGCCACUAGGAACCGUGUUCUGUGAUAUCCCUAGCAUCAUCAUGGUUUUUGGAGCCUUCAGGAGAAGUGAACAGCCCUGGGGUGGGAACCUCAGCCACCAGCGUAAGAUGUGGUUCUGGGCACUUAGCCAAGGAACCAGUGACAGUAACAGCAGAAAGUAUGAGAGAAUAAAUCUGCAUAUCAAAUUCUAAAACUCAUGAAAAAAAGUAGCACUAUGAAAGUUAAUUUAAAAAAAACUUAGCAGGGAAUAUAUUCACUCUAGAUCAGUGGAUCUCAAGUAGUGGUGGUUUUGUCAGCUAGGGGACAAUUUGCAAAGGCUGGAAAUAUUUUUGGUUGUCUCAACUGGUGAGGUUAGAGAUGCUGCUGUUAUCUAGUAACCAUGGAUGUUGCUAAACAUCUCACAGUGCACAGGACAGCCACCCACAACAGUAAGGAUCUGAACCAAAAUGUCCAUAGUGCAGGAGUUAAGCAGCUCUGCUGUCAAUGAAACAAACAUAAUAUGAAUGUCUAAAAUCCACAUAGAUGUCCUUGAGGAGCUCAUAUCCAUGUUUUAAAAAUGAGAAAAUGUGAAAUAAGGUCAGAGAAAUAAAACAAGAGAAUGUAAAAUUAAUGCAUUAAAAUGUUACAAAUGUAAAAUACUGUUUAAAAAUUCAAAUACCAUAAAGUCUAAACAGCACAGGAGAUUACCCCAAAGUCCAAACAGCACAAAAAAUUAGUAAACUAGUGUAUAGUACUGAAAACUUAACCAAGAUUCAGAAAAAAAUGACAAAAUGAUCCAAAACCAAUAUAAAAGAGCAGAUGAAAGAGUAUUUCCAAUGUAAGGGUCUAGAGGGAAUGCUGUUGCUGCAGUUUCAAAGAGAUCAUCAUGGCUACAUAUGUUUAAAAUAGGAAGAAGGUUAUGAGUGCUUAUUAAGAGAAUGCACUAAACAGAAGCAGAAUUGACUCAAAUAAAUCUGUAUCUAGACUAUCAAAGUGAAUCACAAAAAUAUCACAAUAUAAAAAAUACAUAUGUAUAAAACAUAUAUGUACAUGUAUAACUAUACGUAAAUGUGUAUAUACAGUGUGUGUGAAAUUUUAACACCUAAGAGAGGAACAAAAAAAGAGGAAGGUAGUAAAAAAAUCACUUUUAAGAAAGAAAAAGAAAAUAAAAAGGAAAGAAAGGAGAGAAAAAAAUGAGUAAAAAGGAAGAAAAAAGAAGCAGAGAAAAAGACAAUAACCAGAAAACAAACAAAAUAGUAGAAACAAGUUCAAAUGUAUCAAUAAUCAUAAUAAACAUAAGCAGAUUAAAUCAAACAUUAAAUAAUAGUUAUUAUCAAGAAAAAUAAAACAGUUUAAAGGGAACAUAUUAAAAUUAAAGUAUACAGAAAGUUAGGGGAACGGUCUACAAAAGAUGUACAUAGUAAUAUUAAUCAAAAUAAAGCUCAUGUUUCAAACAAGAAAAUGUUUUAGAAGAAAAAAAUUGACAAAGAAAUUGUGGGAAAUAAAUAAUAAGCAGUAACAUCCCCUAAAAAGUUAUAAUAAUAAACAUGUAUACAUCUAAUAAUCUGGCUUCAAAUCUAAACUAACAGAAUAAUAAGUAGACAGAACAAUGAUAGAGGGAAAUUUUAAAAUGUGUCUAUCAAAAAUACAACAAGCAGAAAAAAAAAAUUUAGAAAAUGUAUUAGUGAAGGUUCUCCAGAAAGACAGAACCAGUAAGAUACAUAGAGAUAUAUGGAUAAGUAUAUGAGUGGGGAUUUGUUUGGGGACUUGGCUCACAUGAUUACUGAAGCAGGCAAGUCUUAUAAAAGGCCAUCUGUAAGGUGGAGACCCUGGAUGUCCAUAGAAUGGCUCAAUUCAAGCCCAGAAAACUUAGAACAAGGAAAGCCAAAUUGUGUAACUAACAGUCCAAAACCAAAGGCCUAAGAACUCCUGGGUGGAGUGCAUAAGUCCUGGAGUCCAAAGACUAGGAGCCUGGAUUUCCCAUCUCCAGUGGCAGGAGAAGGGUGUCCCAGUUGCAGGAGAAAGAAAAAGAGAAUUUUUUUCUUCCUCUGCCUUUUCUUUCAAUCUGGGCCUUGAGCAGAUAGGACCCACCCACACCGAAAGCAGAUCUUCCCCACUUGGUUCACUGACUCACUUCAAUCUUUUCCAGAAGCACAUUCAUGGACACACCCAAACGUCAUGCUUUACCAGCUGUCUAAGUAUUCCCUAAUCCAGUAGAGUUAAAUUGACACCUAAAAUUAAUCAUCACAGAAAAUUCAGAAAACAUAACUGACAAGCUUAAUCUAAAAUAUACAAAUAGAAUCCUGCACCUCACCUACAAAUAAAGAGCAUUUUUGUGCAUAUCUGAAGCACUUGCAGAACAAAUUCUACAAAACAUUUUAUGCAUCUAAAGAAGUAUAUGCUAAAACUUUUAUAUGCUGAAACAUUAUUUAGAGAGUUCUUGAGAUAAGGUGGUUGAGAGAAGACAUCAGUGAAAGAAAUACAGUAGUUUUAGUUCUAGUUCAUUUAGUCAACAGAUACCUCUGGGGCAUCUAAUAUGUUCCUUACUCCCAGCUUUUUUUUUUUUAAUAAGAAAAUAUCCCCCCACAUUUACUAUGUAUUCUCCCAGAUACCUUCCUGACUUUCCUAAACAAGAAACAGAAACCAGAUUUGAAGUAUUUGGUCCUGAUAACUGAUAUGUAAUUCUUUAUUGUGUGUUGUGGCUAUUAUUAUUUUAACCUGAGAAGUCUUUAAAAGGUCCUCGUUAAAAGGUCAUUUGAUUUGUUAUGUCUAUCCCAGUAACCAGUGUUUUUUUCCCACCUCAAAAUCCACAAAAUCAUGCAUCUGAUAAAAAAAAAAAAAAUCUAUGUGGCUGAAAGGUAGAUAAGAGGGCUUAAGAUGCUUCCAUUUUCUCUCAAAAGCAUCAGCAUAUAAAGGACCAGUUUGGACAUCCAAAUUCCAUUGUUUUUUAACAUGCAACCUCUAACAAGUUCUUAACAUCUCUGAGCAUGAAUUUCCUCCUCUAUGAAGCAGAGAUGAUAAUGCAUCAUAACCCUAAUCUCCCAGGAUUGUUGUAAAGAUUAAAUGGCAUAGCAUUCAAAUAUGUAGCACAGGAUUAAUAUAUAAUAAGUACUCAAAUCUCUGUUGGAUCUGAAUAUUUCAUCUUGAAACAGUAUGCAAAGAGACUUCAAAGCACCCUAGGACUAGUUCUUCUCAGAGGAGCACCUCAUCCUGCAAGCCAGCCCCACCAGUUCAUUAUGAUGUCAACUUCUUCACUAUUUCACUAUUUCUAUGCUGGCAAAUAGCAGCUCAGAUUCUGAAAUAAAGAGUAUGUACUAGGCAUCAGUGCUAACCAGGCUUAGAUAUUUAGGGAAUUUCAUAGGAGCAUGAGAAAGAAAUAAGGACUAAACCCAGAGUCCCACAGCUCUAGGAUUCAGGAGAACAAGCCUACACAUGUUUUCUGUAGGCUCCAUUCUCAUCAGUGUUUUAAUAUCACUGGGUAAUGUAAAACAGAGGAAGGAACAACUUGCAUCACCGAACAAAGAUUUAAGGGAAGCCUGAUUAUACUAUUAUUUACAGAAUGGACUUAAAUCCUGAAAUCUGCUAGAUGAAAAAUAUUAAAUGUAAAAUGUUAAUAAAACUUUUAGAAUUUUUAAAUGACAAUAACAUAAACUCAAUAUAGUGUUUAUAAUUUAGUCUGAGUAAUUCAAUUUGUAAGUUUCAUCAUAAUACUCGUGUAUUAAUAACAUUGAGCUAUAUUUGGAAAAGCAAAAAUAGACCACAGAUAUGAGGCACACAGUGUUUGUGACUUCUUAUGAUACAAAAACUAUAUCUAUUUAGAUAGAUGGGGUGCCAGGACUUUUUUAAAUAGGAUUUUUUUUUCUAUUUAUUAAUCUUUUCUUUCUUAACUUUUUAAUGAUUCCAAACUUGAUAUUUUAUUUCCCUAUGAUGUUUAGCAAGAAAAUAUUUCCCAGCAUCUUCUUGGUGGUUCCCCAAAUCCUGGAGCUAUCUUACAGAAAGGCAGCUCUCACACCAACCUUACAUGUGAAUUUUAGCAAGAUGCUCUCAGCUCCAGUUUUCUUUGAUGUAAUAAAAGGAAAACACUACUAUUUCCCUCCUAAGAACUGAGAAAAGUAUCAAAGGAAAUCUUUUCAAUGGAAGGAAAAGAACACAUCGAACUUGGAUAUUCUUCUCUCUGGAGAGGCCAUACACUUAAUGAGGUCAGAAACCAUGACUAAAUGAGCAAUAAUGAUUUCUUCAUCACAAGCCCAGUUAAAGUUGUACUCUGUUAACUUGGCUAAACUUGAACUAGGUCUCUUGGAAUUCCCAUUCCUGAAGAAAUCUGGAUUAGCAUGGGCUAUGUGGUUUGGUGUGAGGAAGGUUCAGACAAUUAAAAAACACCUUGACUAGGUAAAGAAUAAAAGGGUUUAUCAGCAGGUAGCAGGAGCUCAUCAAAUUACCAAAAGCCAAUAAGUUCUAAGCUUUGGGCAAGCACCCAGACUCUCAAGAUCACUCUGCCUCUUCCACUGGAAGUAGCUGACCACUGACUACAUUCCUCUGUCUCAUUCCAAGUUGAGUCAGAGAAAUAGCCACUAGAAAAGAUAAAAAAUAUGGAAUUUAUUGUGGGCUUUGGACUUACAUAAUUAUAUGAGUGGUUAAAUGAUUUAUUUACAACUAUUUCUUCCAUGCCUGAUGUUAGCUUCUGAGGCCAGCAGGAGACACCAUUGGGAAGGAAAGACAGAAGUCAAGCAGGAGAGAAUAAGGACAACCUGGGGCCUGCAAGGAUGAGUGAGAGCCCACAAGAAAACCAGAAGCUUCUCUUACUGCUUCUGAGCCUCCAACUUCAACAAUAGAGUUCCUACAGGAGAAAGUGGUACCGACUGUCAUGCACUUAUGUGAAAACCUGGCCCAUGAAUUGGAGAGAUGAAAGGAAGGAUCUAGUAGAGGGUGGAAGCUCUGUGGGCUUGGCUGAUGCCCCACACCAACCAGGUGAACCAGAAGACAUGACAUGCAUGAGCUACAGCAGUGCCUGGUGACCUACAUAGACCUGCAAAGCAUAAAAAGAAUAAGACCACUGCUUCCACCCUCUGAAUCUCCUGCAAGACCCCACAGUCAAACCCAGAAUUAUACAAUGAAGGGAACUCUGAAACAUAGUCCAAGUUUAGCUAAAGUAACAGAGGACAAGUUCACCAUACGCUGCCAUGAAAUGGAUGGCUUGUGGCUUCACUCAAAGUCAAACCUCAAACAAAUCCAUCUGAUAAGUGAGCUCUAAAUUAUAUAUGGACCACUACAUGCAAGGGGGUUUGGGUAACCCAAUUCUUUAAAUUUUGCAAAGAGGUACACUAGGAGAUUGGAAAAGAUGAGCUGUUACUAUAACCAAGAUUUAUUGAAUGCUUACUAUGCACUGCAUGCUGUGCUUAGUAUUUCAUGCAUAUUUUCUCAAUUAAUCCUCAAUAAUCUCAUGAAAUGAGAAGUAUCAUUAUUAUUUAUUAUCAUUAUUUUUCUGUUGCCUGUGUAGGCUCAUAGAAGAUAAAAUCACCAAAAAAGCAUUCUUUAUUCCAGACAUCUGCUUUCAGAGCUCAAACUCAGAACUCAAACUCUAAACCACAUUCUAUCAUCAUUAAGUACUUCUCUUGAUCAUUGCUACACUGCCAGGAACUAGUACAGUUCUUGAUACAUAGACCAUGCUCAAUAUUGUAAUUAUUGAACUCACCUCCACACAAUCACCAAAGACUUUAUUUCUUUAGUUUAGCCCUAUCCUAUUUCUCUUUUUAUUUCCUAGUAGUAACCUAAUAUAGGCCCAUGGCAUACAAUAUGUAUUUGUUAUCAAAUAGUGUUCACAGACCCAGUCAAAUCUAGUAAAGCCUGAAGAGUUGUCAGCAUUGUACACAUAAAGAUCUUGAGAAUCAGAAUCUUGUCCUUGAUGUUAUACCCUAAGAUUCUUGGAACUCAGAAUACCACAGAAAGUUUUGGGAAAUUCAGCAUAAUUAAAAAACUUCCAUAGUCAGAAAUCCACUCUCUUCCUUUAUCUCAAACCACAGACUAGAUACAUUUUCAUACCCAGAAUUGGUCAGGGAGGAAGAUUUGAAGAGAAUGCAGAGGAAAUGUAGUGUGGCUUAGAAGAAAACUAUUCUCUGUCCUCCCUUAGUUGAGUUCUUUGCAUUGACAGGGGAAUUCACAAAACCUCAGAUUGGUUGGGGAAUUGAAAAGCAGAUUACUUUCUUUGUGGAGAGGGAAUAUCCUGCAGAAGCAGAAAGACCUGAAGAAUGUCUGUUACCAACCUAGUAAUGUUACUGUGAAAAAAAAAAUAUUUGUAUGGGUGUGCAAAAGUGAGUGGCAGAAUUUUUUGAAUCCUAAUGAGGUAUAGGAAGAGCCAAGUUUUACUUUUAUAUUCAAAAAGAACAUCUAAGUAAUGGAGAAAGAUAGAGACAUAAAAGGCACGAGAGUUAGGAUGGCAAGAUGGCGCCGUGUGUGUGGAUCCAUGACCAGGGAUCAGAUGGACACAAAGUUGCCCAGAAGAUGCUCACAUGUCCAGACUAGAAUUAACUCUACCUCACUUGACCUCUUGCUUGCAAAAUAUCACCCACAGUUAGACUUAAAUUUAGAAAUUAGGUGGAAAGAGAUAGCAACUGAUGAAGAUUUUGUUUUCAACUCCUAGUGACACCUAAAUUCCUGGCCACAUAAAAAUUCUGUUCUCAGAAAAAUUAAGUGAAAAUUUUUUUCACAUGUGAGUGAAAUUUUGGAUCAAAAUUCAAGUUCACUAUAAAAAGUGGACCAAAGAGGUCUACCAAUACUUAAAUAUUCAAAUAAAAUGUCUUUUUAAGCUUCCAACUUUUUAAGUUCUAUGUAGUAAAAUCUAUCAAGAGAAAAAUUAAAUUCAUACUGGUUAUUUUAAUAUAAAAUUGUUUGACCAACACCACUGUUAUUAUUAUAAUGAAAACUUUGAUGCUAAGAAAUGUGAAUCUUUUUUAAUUGCUCUGGCAUAAACAAUUUUAUCAUUGCCUCUGAAGUAAGUACAGAGUAGCACUGCUAGCUUGCUUUCUUUCAUUUAUCCAUUCAACAGAUAUUAAUGCAUACCUAAUAUGUCAAGAACCAAGUUCACAGAAUAACAUGGCAGCCAAAAGCAAUAUAGGAAUCAGUACUCAAGGCUAGUGAAAGAAAAAUAAUAAUUACAGGGCCAUGAAUAACCUAUUGUUUUUGUUACUUUACCUUUUAAUAUUUACUGAGAACCUAUAAAGUGCCAAUCACUACUAAGUGCAUACAUGCAUUAUGAAAAAAUGUCCAUGCCCAGGUCACUUUAGCAAAUGAAAUUAUUUCAGUUUCAGAUCACCACUCUCUUAUACUCUCUUGCAUAGCAUCUUCCUAUUUUCUGUUUCUUAUCAACAAGAAGAACAUAGCUUGUUAAAUGGUUCUCAUUACAACAUAUGAAAUCCGGCACCAUUCUGAUUAAAUCAUGGGUUAAUCUAAAUUCAUUUAAACUUGGGCAGUUCACAAACAUGGCCAUCAGACUUGAAAGGGCUACACUCUAUCUAGAUCACAAUUUGUUCAGGCACACAGGAAUGGUGUUUCCCACCUAAGCACCUACUUUCAAUACUCUCAGCCCUACAGAUGUGCAACAUUGCACUUCAGCUGCAGAAUGUGCUUUCACCAAGGCUCCAGUACCCUCCAAGUUUGCUAGAGGGAUACAGUAAGAAAACUCUUGAACCUGCCUGAAGCUGUUCAUAACUGACACCAAUCUGCAUACUUAGAUCUUUACUUCCACUGAGGGCCAGAUAAGAUAGUUAUGUGAGCAAGAUUUUCAUACAUCCUAUAAUACCAUAUAAAUGGGCACCCUUAUUAAGAUACUUCUACAUCAAGCUCUUCUGGACCAGAAUGGUAACUGUCUCAGGACUGAAAUAGCCUCCAACAUUUUUUAGCUGAAUUUGACUUAUUAACUAUUUUGUUUUUCUACUAGACCCUAAGUGGUAGUAUGUUAAGAAACUAGUUCAUUAUUAUAUCCUAUAUCUGUGGAAAGUAAGUUUUUGACAAGAGCCAGUUCAAGACAAAUGAAACUUCAUGCAGGCUUCAAAAAGUCAUUAAAGAAGUGAAGUCAAUUUUUUUUUUUUACCAGCCAUACAACCAAUAAUUCUGAGCAGCAGCUGAAAUUUAGUACAUUCUGUUUAAGGCAACAUUUAUGGACAGGUUCUCAGAAAAGAAAGAUAAACGUGAUGAGCCCUACAUCCUCCAUACUUAACUUUCUCAUGGCUCUUAAGUCUGCAUUCUUUUUGGUUCAAUCACAGUCCUAGGAAUGACACCAUCACUGCCAGUUUCCUGAAAUAAUCAGCCUCCCAGGCCAGAUAGAGACUAGGCAGCUGCACAACUCUCUUAUGAUUCUCAAUGGCAGAGGGUCACACAGGGCCAUGACCUGGCAUCACACACAGGGCCUUCCAUUCUGCAGACUAUACCUCUAGCUUCCAAACUGAGGACAAGCAAUUAUUUAAAACUAUUUUUCUGGUUACCUUGAAGACCCUCUGUCCCAAUUUCUUUUCUUCGUGUUAGUUAAAAAGCAGGGCUCACAAUUGGUUUGAAGUACAGAACUAAAGGCCACUUGCUCAGAUUGUUGGUGGCUUUUAAGAUGACUAAAGUUUUUAAGUAUAAACAUACAGAAUCAUAAAAUAAAACUAGCACCAAGGUCAACAAUCUUUGCUAUCUUGACACUGCUGUCAAGCUAGAAGGCAGGAGAAAGUUUUGAAUCCUUAAUACUUAUCUGAGAAGGCCCUUGGCAGCCUUUAUCAUCACAAUAUUUGAAUUUCUGUUAUCAAAGUGAGGACCCUUACCAAUCUUCAGUGCAUUGAGGGAAUUUAGUUUACCUAAAGAAUAAAAUUAAGUUUGAAAAAAAUAUUCUAACGUAAAGAGGAUACCCAAUAGCUGAGUUAUCAAAGACAAAAGAAACAUUGAGGUUUGAGGUCAGAGAAAGCAUUCAUAGGAGGAGUCCUUCUUUGGGUGUGAAGGGAACAAAGACCACAGAGCUGAAAUCAAUGCAGCCCUACAGCUUCAAGUAUGCUGAACAAGUUCUGGGGAUCCUGGGAAGAAAAUGUAUAGGAGAUUAAGAGCUUCCUAAUAAAAAAUGACUGAAUUUGAACAUGUCAAGGGGAAGGGAAAGCAGAGGAACUCAAAGAAACUGAGAUUUUUCUCUCAAAACCUUCUAAGGAAAAGGUUGUUGUUAUUACUGCUUGCUCUUUCCUAUCUCAGCAGCCUGGCUGGGAAGCAAUGGAGUCAGCAAGAAAAACACAAUGCGACCUUCUGUUCUAGGGGAAGUGGGAAAAAAAGAAGUCCAAGGUUGCCUCCUUCUUACCCACUCCUGAGGCACAUUUUCAUGCUAUUGUUGGACUUUGCAGUUUUCCUUCUGGUUGCCAUGGCAUCAGAGACACAAAUGCCUUCUUCCACUUUAAAACUGAAUUCCCUUACAAACAAAAUUGUUUCCAUUUGAGAAUAUUCUCACCCUCACACCCAUCAGAACUGCUUUCAAAAGAAAGAAUGUGUCUUUUUAAAAUAUGGAUGAAAUGCAUUGCCUUCUUCUGAUUAUAAGAGGAACAUAUUUUUAUUUUGAAAAUGCAGGGGAAAUUGUUUUUUUAAAUGGAAGAAAUUGCCCUAAGAGCUUUUUACCUGAUGACCAUAUAAGUGGCAUGUUAGCAUAUUUAUUUCAGGUCUUUCAUAUGUAGAUGUAUAUAUAUAUAUAUAUAUAUAUAUAUAUAUAUAUAUAUAUAUAUAUAGUAUUAUGUAUUGCAAAGUUACAAUCAUAUUACAUAGAUAUGAUUAUGCAUGCUCUUUUUCCUUCACUUUAUAUUCUACAGACCCACCCUUCUGAAGCAGGAUUAUAAAACCCAGAGAUACUCUGUAUGAAGCUUUAGCAUUUUGCUCAUUUGCAUCUAACAUAUUCUCAUUAAAAGAAUAAUUUAAUAAGACAGCAGUCUGACCUUUAUGCCCUCAUAAAUCUAAAAGUUUGAGAGAAGUUAGAGGCAGAGAGCGAUGGGUUAACUGUACAAAGCCAUUUGCUCUCCACCAAUUUAUGCUCUUAGCACACAGAUAUCUUCAUAUAUUGUCUUGGGUUGUUUAAAGAAAAAAAAUCUGAGAAUAUAACUAUAAAAUUUAUGACUUUUCUUUUAAUAAUUACACAUUCUCUGCAAGUACAAGCACACUUUUCAAUAGGAAUCUAUCUGCCCAUUUAUUCUUGCCAAACAGAUCACUGUCGAGAGCCAUCCAUGGGCUGUAUGUGGACUACAUGGUCUUCGCAGCCUAGUGAAUAGGAGAAUCUGGUGUCUGUGAACUUCCAGUGGACAUUUACUCUGUCUAAGACUGCCCAGACACAUUGUGAGCCCUAUUCAAGCUCUGCCUGGUCCCACACAGCACCAGAGAUGGGGUGACCUGCUACAACCAACCAGCCACACAGCCUCUCAGAGAAGGGUAUGAUCUUCCAAGAUGCCAAUCACCCUGCUGACUUCAAGACACCAUGAAGCAAAAUUCCACCCCUGAAACCUUAUCCCUGCCUUUAAAAAGUAUGCUUAAAUAAACCCCGGGAGCCAUUUUCUAGUUGUCUAGCUCCAGCUCCUGUGUGGACUGGACCUAUCAGGUGCUCCAUCCUUUGAAACUAAUUUUCCAACUUUGUCUUUUGUUCUUCACUAAUUAUUCUAGACUUUAAUUUCUUAGGUGGCUUACAUCCUCCUGAACAGGAAGAAGAACCCCCUAAUGAAGUGCUGGCUGUUAUUAAACUAGUCCAAUAAACCAGGAAACCAGACAUUUAAUGAUAUAAAACUAUGAAGACAGUGUGCUUUAGUGGAAAUUGUAUAGAUUCUUGCAUCAAACAAAACAGUUUCAAAACUAAGGCCUAUAAUUACUAGAUGUGUGACCUUAAACACAGUACAAAAAUCCCUUAAGCCUCACUUCCUUAUCCCUAAUAAUUCAGAUUUUUUUAAAAAAAUAAUAAUAGUGUCCAGCAACAGAGCUGCACUAAAAAUUAAAUAAAAUGAAAUGCAAAAAAAAAAAAGCCUUACAUAAUGCCUGACACUUUGUAGAUGUUCAACAAAUAUUGAUAUUCUUUUUUUGAUGGUAACCUGAGCUAAAACUUAAAUUUCUUCAGACAGUGAUGGUUACAUAGUUCAUCAUAUGAGUUGUUAAGUGAUCAUACAUUGUUUUCCAGUUAUACAUUAACAAACAUCCUCAGUAAACACUACUUCCGCUCUCCUAUUAAUAAAAGUUAUAUAAGGUAUAAAAUUUUCUAAUGGAAUGUUAGAGUCCGGAAGGACAGGAAUGUUUAUAUUUCCAACAGGUUCUUUUUUCUGAAUUCCCAGCUCAGUAGAGGAAACAAGUUAAUUUGUGUGCCCUCAAAACUAAAAGAGAAUAAAAGACUUCCCCUAGCCACUGUUAAGUAUCUCUUAACUAUUCUACCAGAGCUUCCAGAAUCAAGAUUAAAAGAAUAGGAAAAAAAUUGAUGUUUCCACACAUUUCAUAUCAAUAGAAGGAUGUUGAAACUGUACGGUAAACAGAGUCAGGAAGUAAAAACCUCAUUAGAAAUUAAAUGUUUUAUAAUUAACCACACUGGAAGCGGAUGUUAUUGCUAAUUUUCUCAAGAAAUUUUUUAAGACUGAGAUUAAAUUAGACCAGUUAUUUACUGAAUCUCCUGAAAAUAUAUAGAAACCCACCCACCCCCCCCAAAAAAAAAAACCUUUCUGUUAUUAUAAUAUUACCAGGAUUAGUCUAAGGCCUAGAAAGCAGUAAAGGUGUGAUUUUUUUCUUUUAUAGAUUAUAUUACUUUUUUAGCAUGUUUCAAUCAAGGUAACUAAAAUCAAAACCAUGCAUUCAGAUAAUCAAUACAACAUUGGAACCUGAAAAAAUUCACAGCCUAUAUUCACAUCCACCCUAAGUACUAUUACCAAUGGGAAAUGGAUAAUGAUGAUAGGACAGAUAGAAUAGAUAAUAGAAAAUAAUAGAUGAUUGAUUGAUAUAGUAAAGUGGUAUUUUUUAACCAUUUAAAAAUUAUUUAGAUAUAUCUUCCUUAGGCUGCUGAGAUAAUCUAUAAAUUUUGUAUAUUGAUGUCAUUUUAUAGAUAAGGAAAAACAAUACCCAGGAAAGUCUUGAGAUUUGGCUAAUCAUCUACAGACUUGAAACCAAAAUUGAAAUGCUUGAAUUUUCUUCUCAAGACAGUGAGGAGUUAUUGAAAGUUUUUGAUCAUGAAGGUCAUAUUGUCACUAAAAUGUUUUAGGAAAACCACUCAGAAAGUGGUUUGCAAAAUAAAGGAUGUAGAAAUUAGUGGAAGAGAGGUAAAAUAGGAGGCUGGUGAAAGAAAAAAAUCCUAAUAAAGACACAAUUAUUGAAGUGUGAUAUUAGGCUUGCUUCCACUAAAAGUAAUCUGGUUUGAUUUGAUUUGAUUUCAUCUCAUUUUGGUUUUUGUGUUCUAUCUACCCCCUUAAUAAGUCCUUUUUUACUCUCUCUUUCCCUUCAGAGGAAUAGGGGAGCUUUCUCACUUAACUCUUUCCCCAAAGCAUUGUCAGAAAUUUCUUCCUCUUGACAUGUCAUUCUGCUUUAGAUUCCCAAUUGUGGCUCUGUACUUUCUCUGUAAUCAUUGGAACAAAUUUUGGGAACAGUCAUGGUGUCCUACAUUGACCCCACCCUCACCUCUCCACUUGAAGUACAUACAAUUUAGUACCUUCAAAGAAGCCAUCUCCAUAUGCAGCCUCAGAAAUAAAUCCCUUAUGACAUUACUUCUCAGCAAGAGACAGAGAAUGUCUACCACCCAGCAUUCCCAAAUGAGUUCUAAUUUUUAACCCCACAAGUUCUUUCAAAACAGAGAUGGAUUUCUCUAUAGUGAGAAAUCACAGAUCCACAAAAGGUGUUUUCUUUUAAGACACCCAUUCCUAAAUUUUUUGAGAGCUAAGGUAAACUGACCAGCCUGGGGAAAUACAGGGUUUGUGAUUUAGGGGGCUGCAUUUCAGGCCUAGCCUUCUUUUGAAGGCAUUCUUUUGAGAAGCACUGUUUGCCUUAGGGAAUAUGUUCUCUUUCCUCUUCACCAGGGGGAUGUCUUCCUUCUUUGGGAUAUGCUCUAUUUGAAAUAAACUGAACAAACAGGAAACUUGGUGAUAAAAGGAAAAUGUUAUGUUUAAUUUUAUGUGGUCAGUAAAUAAACCUUCUUUACGGUCUAAUAAACAGGCCAAGAAAAUACCACAUAUUUGACAGAGCUAAUUAACUUUUUUCUAAUUGAAAGCUAUUUUAAGGAUUUUAUACUUGAACUUCACUUUUUAUAUUAAAAAAGAAGAAAAGAAAAACCACUUUGUAAGGGAAUAAUUCAUUGGUUGACAAAGGAUCAUCAGCUAACCAAAAAAAAAAAAAGUGCCAGAUUUCUUUAAUAAAAGUCUAAAAAUAAAAUAAA